rnacentral:lncRNA from 1 species
UUUGCUCAGGUCUCACGGAACAAUUUGGAAUUUUAUUAGGAAGAGCACGACCUUCUGCAUCUUUGUCUUCAAAUAGUUUAAGAAGAUUAAUUAAUGGAAGGAAACUAAUCCCCUGUGUUAGCAAAACCACAUAACAGCUCCUCUCUAACUUGUACACCACUAUCAUCGCUCAUCUGCCUCCACCCUGAACCCCUGAGAUAAUAGUGGUUAUAUUAAUUGGAAGAGGGGCUACAGAAGAAAUUGAGAUAAAGUGGAUUUUGUUAAGAUUGAAAAGUAAAACUUUAACUCUUUAGAGUUGCCAAUGAAUUUUCCUACCUGAGUGAAGUAUUUAGUUCAGGAAAUCAAACAAGAGGUCCUGUAUUGGGUUGUACUGGCAGCCAGUUUUCAUCUAAGGUAAGAAGUGAAUCUGUAUGCUGCCCAUUGGAUAAAAUAGAUUCUAUAGGCAUGACCAAAGUAACAUGUUGACUUGUAGGAUUAACAGGAAAAUUGUUUUGACCACCGCAUCUUUGCAAAGAAUAUAUGAGAAAAGUUUAAAAUGAUGCUGUACAAAUAAUGUUGGAUUACCUUUUAUCAUAGACAAAAUUUGAUCAGUUAUGAGCAUGUCUUGCUUUUACUUAUUCCUAUGAGUGUUCUGAAACUGAAAUUGUAGGAGAUGGAAGAAUCAGAGGAGACAUUACUGGUGUUUCUACAACCAAUGUAGCAGAAAAAGUGUGGUUGACCUCGCAAGCAGUUGGGGACAUUGCUUUUGCUUACACAUACAACAUAAUCCUAUUGGAAAUAGAGGUGCAAGACUGAUGCUUUAUAUCUAGAUAACAUGCUUCUGAUGAAUGCCCUGACAAUUUCAUGUUUAAUACUUCAAAAUUUUCUAUCUAAAUUUGCGAACAUGAAAUUUGUGCUUUAAGGAUACUCUGAAGGAUCCGCCACCACAAAACAGGACAAUGAAGAAAGCAUCAACAGCAGCCGUCCUUCUGAUCACUUUCUUCUUUCUUUGCUGCGGAUGUUUUGGAUAUGCUGCUUUUGGUAACCAGGCUCCUGGAAAUAUUCUCACUGGCUUUGGGUUUUAUGAACCAUACUGGCUUAUUGACUUUGCUAAUGUCUGCAUAGUUCUCCAUCUUGUUGGAGGAUAUCAGGUAGAUGUAUUCUCUCAAUAAACUGGCUGAAUAUUCUGAAACUUUAUUAUAAGUUCGUAAACUUCUUCAUGGUUGUCAUGCUGUCCGCUAACACUGUAUGCAACUAUUUUGUAGAUUUUCAGUCAGCCAUUAUUUGCUGCUGCUGAAAGGUGGAUAUCUAAGAAACUCCCCAACAGUGAAGUGAUCAAGAAGAACUACGCCUUGAAGCUCCCAGUGCUACCUGAACUACGGUUGAAUGUCCUACGGCUGUGCUUUAGAACUGCUUAUGUUGCAUCUACAACAGCACUUGCCAUGCUCUUUCCUUAUUUCAAUCAAGUUUUAGGUGUGCUUGGUGCUUUGAACUUUUGGCCUCUGGCAAUAUAUUUUCCUGUGGAGAUGUAUCUGGUGCAGAAUAAUAUAAGAGCUUGGACAAGACUCUGGGUGGUUCUUCAGACUUUCAGAGUACUUUGCUUGGUUUGCACCAUUUUCGCCUUUAUUGGAUCGCUUGAAGGGCUCAUAAACAGCAAACUAACCUAGAGAAUGUUGAUUUCACUGCAUUCUUUGAACAAAACAUUUGUAGAAGACUAAAAAAUUCAAGUAAAAGAGUUUCUUUGGAAGUGUGAAGUUUCAAAUAUCUGAAACUCAGGAGCAUCCUUCCUUAAUACCUUCAAAGGCUGAAGGCAUUGUGCUAUUCUGUGAAAGGUUAAUGGUAGCAAAUCUACCUUCGCACAGAUUUUCAUGCAGUAAAUAAUUACUCCAUCUUCCAUUGACGUAAAUUUUGUGUCAUAGAAGGAUUUUGAUGUAUUCGCAGCAUAAAAUAAUUUGGUGUUCAGGACACAGAGUUGCCGGCUUGGUUUUGGUUUGGGUUUGGUUUAUAAGUCCCUGGAAGGACCUCAAGAGUUGCCGGCUUUUGAGGUUUCUUCUGGGAUUAGGUUUAUAAAAGCCGAAUUUCUAGACUUCAGUUUAGAAAAGGUCAGGGGGGGGGUUCAGGACACAGAGGUUUAUGUAUAUUUAGCAUUAAUUAAUGAUCUAAAAUUCUUCCACUGAUAAAUAUUAAGGUUACAUCACAAAGAGGGCAAAUAUUUGUGACCGAAGAGAAAAUGUUGUAGGUACAACUAUGAGACGGAGACAGAAAGUUCCAGCGCCCUUGUUUGGAUUGUAAUUUUUUUUUUCAGGAAAAUUUUACUUUUUCUGUGAAUGUAUUUUUUAAUUUUUUUUUUACCUCACAUUAGCAAUCCAAAUAUCUUACAUCAAAUCGUUAUAGUAUAUUUUUCUAAAAAAUAGUAAUCCAAAUGAGGUUAAGCAUUGACAUUUUGACGUUCUUAAAAUUUUGAAAUCCAAUUAGUUAUACACAUUUUAUUUAUCAUCCAUUAGUGUGGGAGAAUUGGAUGAUAAGAUUAUAAAACAAUCAACAGGAGUUGGUUUAGGGAUAAAAUAACCAAGAUUAACACUUCAAAAAUUAGGUAUAUAAGGUCAAACUCUACAAUGCAAUGUUGUGUUAGUUUUCAUUCCACCAUUUGUGGGUAAAUAGUUAAAAUUUUCGUCUUUAUACUUGUUACAGGUAACUAGAUGUGAAUCUUAUCCAGAAUAAAAGUAGUAAGAAACAGAAUAGAGAUUAGUCUACUUUCCAUUCGAUUAAACGUAUCAUAAAGCUCUUUAAUACCAUUUUUAUGUAAAUGUCUCUUUGAAUCUUUUUCUAAACUAUGCACACUACAAAUAUGAACGCUAACAUUAUUGUUCCAAUAUUGCAUAACAAGUUACAAUUUUGCCUCACAAGUUACAAAGUUUGCCAGUACAUUGCACAUUGAAUUUGAACGUGGAUAAUAUUCCAGUAUUCUACUGAGUCCUUUUACCCUUUUCCCUUCUUCGAGCCUUAUAAGAGGAAGGAGAGAAAAAGAAAAGUUUGAGAAUCAAAUUAGAGAUAUCACAAUUAGAAGAAUAUUAGACUGGAUCUUAUGGAUAUUAACAUUGGAUUUUUACGUUGCAAUAAUUAGAAGAACAUUAAUUGUUUACCUAAAUUGAAUGUUUUUCACACAAAUACUUAGUUAGGAAGAAAAAAGUAUUUAGAAUAUUUGAUUAACGAGCUGUAGGAAUGAUAUUGUGAGAUAUGAUUUUUUUUUUUUUUGAUCUAAGUGUCUUAAUUUGACCUACAAUACAAACACUAAAUAAAUCAUUCACUAAUGCAGCCUGUAUUUUUUUUUUGGGCUAAAUAUACACCAUCAUAAUUUGAUUUUGCUAUAAUAAGGGUUCAUUUAAACAACAUCCCAUCAUUUAAAAAAUAAAUUUUGUUUGAUUAGAAACAUGUUUUUUAGUCAUUUCUUUUUGCCAAUCAUUUUUUAUUAUUUUAAGAUAUUUUUUUAAAUAAUAUUCUAUCCAAACAUAUGUGACAGCCCCACUUUCCCCUAAGGCGUACCAAAGGGAUUAGCAGACUGCCUGUCCAACUCUCGCCAGAACUAACGAGGUAGUUAAAUACAAUCUAAAACGUUCCAAAAGGUAAUAGCGCGCUCAAUCUAUUCAAAAUUGCAAAAUGGCAAAACGAAAAUCGAAACCGCAAAUGAAUAGUGGUUGCCACGUCACCAUCCAACCAGAAUCCAAUCGAAUAUAGAUAUCGCCAUAUAACUCGGGAAAACAUUUCCAAACCAAAUAGGAUACAUGAACAGGGUUAAACAAUGUUAUACACAUACGUUUGUAAUUUACAAAACAAAAGAAGAUUUUUGGAUCAAAGUACAUUUAGGGUUUUUCCAACUAUCAAGGAGCUUUACAAAAGAAUAUAUUAAAACUAGUUCAACUCGUGCUUCAAAACAUCAUAGUCCCCAAAAGUGGUUCCCUGUAAGGAAAACAAAAUUUAAUGAAGUGAGUUUUCGCCCAAUGAGGUACCAUCACCCAAGUAACAAAGUUCACAUAAGCACAAAGCUAUUCAAUCCAAACACAUCCAAUAAGUGAGUCAAUUAACAUCACAUUUCAAUAAAGAUAUUUAAAAGGAUACGAUCGACUCUCAAGAGCCCUUAUCCCUGCUUGCCGUACUUGAUCUCGCCCCGUUGACCCUCCGUCAACGCUUGAGGAGUAACCAAUACCGUAGACUCCACUUUCAUCGAUUCCUUCCACCUCACAUACUCCUAUCGGGCCCAAACUCCAAUCAGUUCAGAAAUAGUAAUACUCGAGUAUACCGGAAUCAAGAGUCUCAUACUCAAGGAUUUCACAUAAACAGUCCCCAUGACUUGUCAAUUUUCUCAACCAAUCCCUUGCCGACUCGAUUCAAUUGACCACCAAUAGGGUUGAGCUCAGUGAUAAUAGUAAUGGUCGUUGGAUACUCGUCCAAACGACCCCAGUUUAAGUAUGUUCAAGUAGAAUUCAAUUGAUGCAGUAAACAGUCACAUAAGCCAUAGAACGCGAGAGUGAUAAAGUACACCAUCGUUUCAAACAAUCUCAUCUAUAUACAUAAGCAUUCAAGUCAUAAAUUUCAAGUAUAACCAAGCCAUGAAGCAACAAUCACGUGAGUAGUACACUCACCAAGCAAACACAGAGUGAAAUCACAAAUUUCUGUCCAACGAGCGCUCCGCGUCACUGGCACGUCCUAAAACGUUCAAUAUAACACAAUGAGACUCGAAUACGAGUCAUAAACCGAAUCCACAUACUACUAGAGUAAGACCAAAUAGAACGUAUAAGUGUAAAAUCAAGGUAGGACAUGUGCGGAAAUGGAGUUUAGGUUGGAAAACAAAAAAUAAAAUUGACGUUGUUUAGCGGAACGAACACCAUUGAAGUUACACUUAUCGAAUUGAGGUGCAAUUUACACCGUUUCGAAGCUAAGAUAAAGGGCUACAAUUUUGAUGAAGACCACUCAGUCCAGUUUGUAGUGUAGCUAGGUCAAAAUUUCAAUGUACCAAACCAAAAUCGCACAAACAGGUUAGCUAACCGCAUUAUGGUUAAAUGACCAUAACUCAGGCUACCGAAAUCCAAUUGGGGCGUUUCUAGAGCCGUUAGAAAGCUAAGAUACAGCACUACAACUUUUAUGUUUUGGCCAAAAUCUAACUCAGUACGCAUCAGGGCAAACGGUCGCGGUCAGUUCGGGUGAACUGUCACCACUGUCCACCGAAUUCUUACCUAUGGCAGUCUGGGUAUUUCCGUCUUUUCAUAGGCUACCGAGCUCGGAUUGGGUUGAAAUUUUACAGGCAACUAUAAAACAUUAUUUCCUACAAUUUUUAUGUUUUAAUCUAAGGCUAAUUCGGUUUUCAUCCUAUCCAAACAGUACCGGGCAGAACAGGGUUACCUGAAAUCCUAAUCUGAAAUUUUCCGUACAAAGCGAAAAUUUUUCGCAAAUAGCUACAAUUUACGCAUCAAAACUUCAUUCUAAACCAUUCUAAACCAUCAUUCAUGGCCAACCAAUAUUAAACAUAUAAAACAGAAAAAUCAUGAAUAAAAAUAAAAAUUUCACCAAUCUCUACCAAAAGUCAAGAAAUUUUCCACAAAAUCACAUCUUUAACCAACACAAGUCAUUAAUUUAACAUUAUCAAGACCAAAGAUGGAAUUCCUUAGCUACUCACCUUGCAGCCUCAAGAAAAAAAGUUACUUAGUACCACUUUCUUUCAACCCACUUCACCAACUACUUCAAUACCACCUGACUAAGGGUUUUUAUGGAGUGAUUUGAAGUUUUAUUGGUUAGAUUUGAAGAUUGAGCAAGCUUAAGAUGAAGGAAGUUGGAGGUUUUUCUUUUCUUUUCUCCCUUGAGAGAGUCGGCCAAGAUGAUGAUGAAUGAAGAUGAUUUUGGAUCCAAAUUAGAUAUUUAGUAAAGUUAAUGAAUAGUAGUCAAAGUCAAGAUUGAGUAGGAAAGUGACAGUUGUCAUCUUUUUGGCUUAGAGUUAUCCUUUUGUCUCUCCAAUGAUAAUCCAUCUAGGUAACCUCUAAUUAUCCUUAACACCUGAUAAAUUACCUCCGAUAUACAAAACUUAACUUAAUUGGCCGAAUUUUAUUAAAUUUACCGCACUAACGGGUCCCACGCCCGGUAUACAUUCCUAAAUUCUCAUGAACUAACUUAUUCUAGAAAAAUGAUUUUAAAAACCCUAUUUGCUCAUAAAAAUUAUCUAGAAAAUUUUCUUAAGAAAGAAAAUGUAUAAAAGGAGUGCAAUUAAAUAACAUAAAGCCUGAAAAAUAAGAAAAUUUACGGGUUUUUACAACAUAGAUAUUUUUCCAAUCAUUUUUUAAAUAAUUUUCUAUUUUUUAUAAAUAAAAUUUCCAAUCAUUUUUUAUUAUUUUAAGAUAUUUUUAUUAUCAUAUAUAUAUAUAUAAUAAAGUUGUAUCUUCAUACUUAUCCUUUCGCGUUUUCUCUUUCCUACGUGGUUUAAUGAGACGGCAAGUAAUUUCCUACGUGGCUUGCUACUUUUUUAUUUGGAUGUAUAUCAAUUCUUAUUUCUUAUAAGAAUUCUUAAUAUUAUAUGAUUCUUAUUUCCUAUCCCAAAAAGGAACUAAAAAGUAAUUCGAUAUAAAUAAAAGAGACAUAAAUCUCUUCUAUUAGAUAUAUAGAAAUAAAUCAUAAUAUAUAUUUUUUAUAGUGUCAUUUUUUUAAUUUUUUUAUAGCUUCAUCAUACAUCCUUUUUAUUUUAAGAUAAUCUACCCGUAUAUAGAACAACGUACAAACAAUUUAGACAUGAAAAUUAAAGAAAGUUAACCCAAGAAAGUUUUUACAAGACUCACAGUCCCCAUGCAUAAUUGAUGUACAAAGAGAAAUGACAUUUCAUCUUAUUGAAAAUUUCUGGAAAAAUCCAUAAAGAAAAUGUUAACCUUUUUUAUCAAUUUAAUUGUUACAAUAUCUAGAUAAACAUAACUUUUAGAAUAUGUGUAUUUAUACAGGUAUAUGUUAAAAGUUUUAGCAAGUGAUGCAACCGGUAGUGCUUGGUUUGUUAUAUUUGAUCAAGUGGCAGAAAGAAUAAUAGAACACAAACUUUCUUUUGUUCUUGACGAAUUUAACAAGGUAAACUUAUAUCUAAUUUUUAAAAAUAUUUUUAAUAAGAAUUAAUUUUUCCUACACUGACAGUGUAUAUACUAUUAGCAUUGGAUGAAUGACAACUAUGCAAAAUUUGAAUUUAAAAUUCAAUUUUUGCAUACAUGUCAUGAAUCCAACGAUAAAAGUGUAUACACUGUCAGUGUAGGAAAGAUUUACUCUUUUAAUAAUAGUAAACAAUCCGACACUUAUCUUAGCCGUUGACUAUUCUAACAAAAAAAAAAUUAUUAUGCAUUUCAUUUUCAGAAAGGAUUUAACAGUGAAAUCAUGCCAUCAAUUAUAAAUAAGAUCACGUGGAAACCUUUUGUGUUCCAAAUUGAAUCCGGAACAAGGUAGUAAUAGAUUUACAGUGAUUAGAUGGUUCCACUGUAAUUUCGAGAGAGAAACGCAUUUCAUGCUUUCAUAGGUAAUGUGCAAUAAAUUUAUCUUAUAUUUCACAUAUUAUAUCUCACAUAAUAUUUUUGUCUUUAAUUUUGAUAAAUCAUUAUCAGAUUGGUGGAACCGACAACUAAUACCAACCUGAAGUAUUUUCUUCCCAGAUCCCAAUUAGUAUAAUAGAUGAUUCUAAUCAACAACAUUUCAAUACACUUCAUAUGAAUCAUUCAUCAGGGGGUUCAAUAAAAAUCACAGAGGAAGGGAAUCCGCAUAAAAAUAUUUGCAUGAGAAGAUAGAUUUAAUAUAUUAUUUUACUUUCUUAAAUUAUAAUCUUUACGUAUUGUUAUACACAACUUUGAAUGCGAUAAAUCAUUUUUUUCCAGUACUUAGUUAUCCUACUUUGCUAUCAUGCAGCGAUAAUGAAAAAUCAUAAAUGCUGAUUUGCACGGACAGAUCGAGGAGAAUGUUCAAAUAGAAGAAAAACAAAAACAAGUUUAUGAAGAAUAGAAUAUUAUUUGACACUAUUUACUGCACUUUUUAUUUAUUUUCAAAUUUUUUAAUGUUAUGGUAUUAUUGAAUGAUAUUUUUUCUUUUUUGGAAUUAUUAUUCAUUGAAUUAGAUGUUCAAAUUUAUAUUAAUUUUGUAUUACAAUGUGUAUAUAGUAAUAUACUUAAGAUAAGUUAUAAUAGAUUAUACAUUAAAUUUUUAUUUUAAAUCGAUAUUUUUAUAAAAUUAACUAAAUAAUUUAUUAUUUUUUGAUGAUUCCCGUUCGUUGAACGGGUACAAGACUAGUUUCUAAAUAAAUUUCUAUCUUGGUCACCAGUGCGGAAAACUUCUCAGCCAAAUAGGGCGCUGGUUUUUAAAGCCAAUGCCAACUCAUCAGUUGCCACGUGGCACAUCAACCAAGUACUAAUAGGCUGACAGUCACCGCUUCGGAUUCUCUGCUUCCGUGCUUCACUUCAGCAAAGCCAAGCCCUAUUACCAAUCCCCAAUUCCCAAUUCCAAAACCCUAAUAACUUAUGUGCCCCUUUCCAAUCUCAAAUUUUAUCCAAUUUUCGCUCUCUCCUUAACUUCUCGCAAUGACUUUUAGUUUUAAUUUAACCAAUUUUCGCCUCUGCUUCAUGUGUGUACAUAUAUAGGUUGAAGUGAACAUAUGUAGUAGUACUCAAAACGCGGCGCUUUUGGUGCAUUAAUAUCUCAAAACUUGAAAUUUUGCUGCGAUUUGAAGUGGGGUUUCAGUCAUCUGACAAUGGUUAGUUCUCGUCUUAGUCCAAUUUUAAAUCUCUUGUUUUGUAAAUUUACCAUUUUUUCUGUCCAAAUUGUUGUAUUUCUUUUCUUGUUUGAAAAUUUAUUAUCUUUUAUUGUGUUUCUUGGGAAAAAAGGCCUUUUUUUUUAUCACUCUGAAAAAUUUUUCUGGGCUGUUGAAUUGGGCAAUUUUUUUUACAGUUUAUGUGUUUUUCAAAAAUUUUCUCGUCGAUUGUGCUGAAAGAACAAUAGCUGCUUAGGAACUUACUAUUUGGAAUUAGAAGACUGUAACUGAGGUGUUUUGGUUGGCUUUGUAUUUACAAUUGGAAAGAGUUGCAGUCAAGUAUUAAUUGAGUUCAGAAUUCUAAUUUGGUACGCACGCAGGUGACUUCAAGUAAAAUUUGUACUUUCUAAGCUUUUCAAGUGUAUAUGAAGAUAAAAACCUAAGCUCAUCUUUAUCUCCAAAUAUGGUAAUCAAAAAAGGAAUCCAGGAUAGAGAGCGAUAGAGCGUGUAGUGGAAAAGCUGAUAUAUUUGCUGAAAAGAUUGAAAAUACUGUUUCCUUUCAGUGUUUUCUUUCUAAGGUUCACGAAAACUUUUAUUUUGCCAAGUUAAUGCGCUGACAUCCAUGAUGUGUAUACAUAUGUGUUUAACCAAUGGGUGAAAGUCUUCUACUUCUUGGGGACUGGGAAAGGGGUCACGGAACACGGAUAGAGCGCCUUAAAAGUUUGGGGGGUGCUUUUGUGUGAUCUUUUAAAUUGUUAUGCAUUUUAAUUAUGUGAGAUGCGGAUGUUUCUUUUGCAGAGUGGCAGAGGAGGGAGGGACAGAUUUCGUAGGGAACAUCCUUUGAGAUCUGAAGAGAAAAGCCAUCAUGGUCGCAGUAAUCCUCCAUCAAGACAUCUUUGGGUUGGAAAUCUUUCGCACAACCUGGACGAGAGUUCUUUGACCCAUCACUUCUUACAGUUUGGUGAGCUUGAAAAUGUUGCAUUUCAACCUGGUCGAAGCUAUGCCUUCAUUAAUUUUAAAAAUGAGGAAGAUGCCUUUGCUGCCAUGAGAGAACUCCAAGGUUUUAGUGUUGCUGGCAAUCCACUUAGAAUUGAGUUUACAAAGGCGGUUAGUUUUGUCAACCUUUGUCUGAUUUCCUUUAUGGUGCUCCUGUAUAAAGUCCACAGUAAGACAUGUUCGUAUAUAAUAUCAGAUUUUAACAGAUUCCCUCCAAAAUUUGAGAGUUUCCCUGCUUUCCAAAAUUCAUAUGAAUUGGCCAUAUUCAGUCUAUAACAAAUUCAGGAAAAUUACCUAGAUGAUGCAGGACUGUACCUUAAGCAUGUGCAGAUAUAGCAUCAUAUAUUUCAAUCUUAUGAAUUAUCUUCCCUUACAUUUCGUUUGCAAUCUGCUUCCACUCCAUAAGCAGGAGCUGCAUACUUUGGUCAAACAGUAAUUUGGGUUAAUAUCAUGAAAGGACUCCAAGACUUAAAGGAAAAGAAAGAAAAGAAACUAAAAUGUUUCCAGAAUUCAUUUGAUUAGUUUCUUCAAGUGUGGCUAUCUUGAGGAACAGAAAACUCAGAAAAGGAAAUAAAGUUAUGAUGGUUUAAAUGUUGCACACCUUCUAUCAUCCAUAUUAACUACGUUCUACUUUAAACAUACAUUCCAUUUCCAAGCAAAGGAUCCUAUACUAUCAUUGUCAACGCUAGUAGGAGUUCUCCAAUCAUGAGUGACAAGUUGCACCGAUACUUUAUCGCUACCAAAGAACUAAGAUAAUUUGAAGGAAGAACAUCUGGAAUCAAAAGCAAAAUUCCUUCAUUUUCCAUCAAAUGUUUCACUCAACUGUAUCAGAAACAACUACUUGUUAUCUGAUUAUUUUUGUGAAUUUUUGUAAUUGUGUUAUUAAUUGUUAAAAAUUUGAAUGUGGAGCUUUAUCACGCUUGAAGCAUCAUUGACACGUAAUUUCUCUUUGGAUCAUCUGAAAUGGUGACCAUCUUCAACAUGAAAUUAAGUCCCAGUUAGUAACAAGUGGAAAGGUAAAAAGAGCAAGUGAAAAAUUUUACUUGCACUGCUCUUUGUAAAGAAUUGCACUCACCAACACCUCCCAAUUCAACAUCAGCGGCAUGAUUGUCAACAUUAGUCUCAUUGUUAUGCCUCGUGAUCCAUUUGGUCUUUGCAGCUGAUGGUUUACAGGUUUAGUUUGUUUGUUUCAUUUGGUCUUUGCCGGUGGAGGCAUUGCUAUGUCUGUAUAUCCUUUGCAACAUAUACCAGUUCAUUGGUUUGCUCUUCAGCACUGAAUCUCAACUGUCUUUCUAUAGCAUAAUAAAUUAAUGUAAUCCUCAGUGAUAUAAGAUUUGUGCUGUGCAAUGGAAUUUUGAAUUGUAAUUGAGCACCAGUCUAAGUUUAAUAUCAAGCUUUUGCUUUCAAUGUUCCACUCUCAUUGUAGGUUUAGUUUUAUUUGGUCUCAGAUUAAUCUCUAUUUCGCAUGCAAGUUGGUUAAGGUUCCCGACGUUUUUCGGUUCACUGAAUCACUUUUAGUUAGUUUCUUGGAGAAGAAUAACUUAAAUAAGAUUUAGAAUUCUCGCUUAGGUUUAGAAUUUUUGUUCACCAGUCUAGUGCCAUUUACUUUCCAACAGCUAACAAAAAUGGUUUCUUCCAUAAAUUCUCAUAAAACUGGAUAUCUGAUUUAAAAUCAGCCCUUAUUCAAGGUGUUUUUCUCAGUUUUCACCCAGAACCCUGAUGUAUGUAGUAAGUCUCUACUUUUUACACUUUCACAUGCGUCAGGGUUUUUUUUGACAACUCUGCCAGUAUGGAGCUUGUGAUCUGUUUUGGGUGUAACUUGUCCUUCUGCUUGUUGACUAAUUUCUUGAACAAAUGUAAAUAUCAACCAACAGAUUCUUCCAUUUUUGUUAUGAGAGUAGCAAUUGCAUCAUUUCUGAGUGUCUGACAAACAUUAGAAGUAACCAACAAUAUGAGCUGUAUUUCUUUACUGCAGGAUUUCAUAGUAUUUUAGUCGAUUCUAGUUCCCUUUUCUGGUGUAUUGGGUGCCAUUGCCUGCAAAUGCGAUUUGAUGGGUUUAGUGCUGUUAAGUGCAGAGGGAUGAUAUCAAAAGCUUGUAUUUGCUUAUAUGUUCCACGUCAUUUUGUUAUUCAUUCAAGUGAUAUUUCAGGAAUUACAUCUGACUUUAAUCCAGUUAAGAGUGACUAUAUUAGAUAUUUGUACAGGUUCUACUUUUAAGUCUCGAAGGCACAAUAUCAAUAGCAGUCUCAGAAAACUGUCUUUGUGAUGAUUAAGUUUAAAAUGAGAUUCACUUCUACUGAAAAGCAGCCAAAACAUUUUCAUUUACCAGAGUAUGCAAAUAAUGUACUUUGGGAGGCCCAAAUACCAUUAUAUGUGCAACAAAAGGAGCUGUUUCAUUAUUUUGACAGAUUAUCUCCUUAAAUGGAGGACAACGACAACCAGGCGUAUGCAGUUUCAUGUGAAUGAAAUUUUGUUGCUCUUCUUGUUAUGUGAAAUAGUCCCAAGUACAGCGGUCGCUUCACAGAUAUUAUUCAUCGAUCCAUAAGCUUAUAGUCCAAAAUGAAAAUUGCAAACAGCUUCAGUCCUAUAAGUGAUGUAAAGAAUUUGUAAGACAUGAUACAUUAGACGGAAACCACCUUGGUCGAAGAAGAGGAAGAAGAGAGUAGAGAACUGUGGGUAGUUUGAGUCAUUUAAGCAAGUCUGCUGUUCCAUUUCCAAAUAUAGUCCUUACAAGCUUCAGAACUACCACAUUUUGAAUAACCAAGAUGUACACUCAGUGGGAAAUAUCAUUUGAAUUUGAAAUGAUGAGGCAUGCAUGAACUUGCAAGUUGGUUGUCUUAGUUAAAAGUUGAUGCCCUGUUACACGUAUCUGCUGCUGAUAUAUUUUCAAGGAAAUUAAAAGGAGCUGUAAUGACCUCUGAAGAUCUAGAUCCAAAUAUAGGUAGGCUAUACAGGAUGGUGGACUUCGGUGUCUGUACUUCCUUUGUCCUUGCAUAUUUCUGAUGUCCUUCACGAUUCAACAAUUUGGACAAUUGCUCGUUUAUCAUGAUUUAGUGGAAGUUUGCUGCCUUAUAAAUCACAUUUUUGUUGCUUAAUGUAUGGGUGACUUUGUUUUCUUCCCAGAGGGCUCAGCUGGUAAGAGACUUGCUUCCGUGACAACUACGCAAUUUCAAGUCUCUAACCAGUGGCCUUUGGCGUAGUUGUGAAUAUAUGAACCCAAGACCCCCUAAAGGUGGGGUACAUGGCUCAAUUGCCAUGCAGGGUAUCACAGUCAACCAAUUACCACACCCCUGUUUGUAACAUAACAAGACUUCCUUUCAUGAUGAUUGGUGCCUUCUCAGUGGGAAAUCUCAGUCAGUUCUCGCUAAAUUGUGGUUAGAGAAUGAUUGGCUUUAUAAGUCAAACCAUCCAAUUCAACAGUGGCAAAGUUUGUUGCUAUAAUGCUGCUUUGAAAUGGGAACCUUCUAGUUGCUUCUAGAGUAGGCGUACUAAUAUCAAUUAAAUGGUACAAUGUAUCAACCUGUUCAGAUAUUUUGAAUGCAAGGUAGAAUACUUCUAUCUUGUUCUUUGCAUAAUAUUGAGGCUUGGAUAGUAAAUUGGGCAGUUGCAUUGUUCUAUUUUCUGGUUAUUAGAUAGCAAACCCUAACAGUGGGGUAGACUGUGGCUAAUGAAAGCAUAAAUUGGUUACUACCAAACUUUAAUCCAGAUAUCAGCAUCAUUUCUUUCUUGGAAAAGGAGAGAUACUCUGUGCUGCAUAGAACAUGCAGUUUGAAAGUAGAAAAGACCAACAGUUCUCUCUCUCUCUCUCUCUCUCUCUCGUGGGGUGGAGGACUGUAGGCAACUGGUGGGCAGGUGUUGCAAACAGAUGGACACAGAUAUUCUUGGAUUGUCUAGUAGCUUAUUUGAUGCUUAUGUUGAAACAAAAUGCUUGUAUAAGAUUUUGACCAAUGCUUUAUCAUAUUCCUGUAUUAUUCUUUCUGGAGUGUGCUUGGCCUUUUUCCCACAUUUUGGGAGUUAGACAUCCAUGCCAGGGGAAGGAGAUUUAGAGAUUCUGUUCUAUAGAUUGAUAGUGACAUCGUAAAGGCAGAUGGUGUAGCUUUAGUAAUGAUCUUAACGUUCUAAAAGCAGGAUAGCCAUUUGUGUUCAACUUCAUAUCUUAUCUAAAGCUUGCUUUUGACUGUGGAAAAUCUGGAAAUUCUAAUCUCCACGCCUACAAUUGAGAUUGUACAUGCUUUAUUUUAUAUAAGUUAUCCUACCAUGUGAAGUAAGCAUAUGUUUGUUUUUUGUAUUGGUGUUUUGUUGAGCUAUAUAAUUCAGGUACUGUAGGUUGAUGUUGCUUAUGAGUUACUUACCUUCAGAAAUAAUAGCUUCUUAAUUGAUGGUUUAAAGCAUGAGUAUGUGAUGGAUCAACCUUAUUGGCACUUUGUACUUCCUACUAUCAGCAUCAUGUAAUUUACGAAGCAUUGGAUCAUUCAGGUUACAUUGUGGUAGUUGCUUAGAAGUGAGAUAAGAAUAUGUCGAAUUUGUACUACAUGUAUCCUCUCUGGUUAAGCAAGAUCCAGGAAAAAGGUUCUUAUGGACUGUAGGUAGGACAAUAAGAAGUUUUUCUUGAGUUGAAUUGCUUGUCGAGUAACUACUUGGCUCUUGAACAAUCUUUACCUAAUUUUUGGUUGGGUAGGUAGUUUAGUAUUUUUUUGCUUAUCCUUGGAUUUGUGAACUAGUUCUGCAUGGAGAUGGAUCUUAUGGUUAAUUGUUUCUAUGUUCUAUAUUAGUUGUCUUCCAUAUCUACCAGUCAGCUUCAGUUAUUGAACCAUCAAGUUGUAAGGUGCAUCAGACUAUCUGGAGUUUGCCUUAACCUUUAGAAGAUAAGGUCUAAGGCGUAUAGCUAUUUCAGAACUGACUGUGGGGUAGUUAUGCUUUUACCUAGAAUGAAAUAAAACUUAGAAUAUGUAGAUUGUGGUGACUGAUAAAAGAUUUUGAAGGAAAAGAGACCCUUGUCCGAGGAGAUGCAACAAAGAUGGUGAAAAGAAGGGAGGUUUGAGCUCUCUAUCAUAUGGCUGAAACGUUUUGCUCCAGAUCGUGACUUAAAAUUGAGCUAGUAUGUUUUAUGAAGUCCCUGUAGUCCUUAACGUUCAUCAAGAGCAAAAAGAAUCCACUCUGUGGCUAUAGUCAGAGGUUAGCAAUAGCCCUUUGGUUAUCCAAAUACCCCUUCUAUAACUGCUAUUCUGGUAGCCAAAAAUCUGAGUUUGCAAUGACUAUUGUGCUUCUGCCAGAUUCAUCUUGAAUAUUAUGGAAAGGAUGAUUAUUGUGAGGAUGUUCGAAGGUGCAAUCAUGUCAAGGACAGUUUCUGCUCUUUGUAGAGAAUAUUGGUGCCUUCUAUAACUGCUACUCUGGUAGCCAAAAAUCUGAGUUUGCAAUGACUAUUGUGCUUCUGCCAGAUUCAUCUUGAAUAUUACGGAAAGGAUGAUUAUUGUGAGGAUGUUCGAAGGUGCAAUCAUGUCAAGGAUAGUUUCUGCUCUUAGUAGAGAAUAUCGGUGACAUUUAUAUCUUAUCUAAGGUUAACCAACUACAAAGAGAAACACUAAAUUUACAUGUGCUUUAUUGGUUAGCCACUAUUUGAAAGUUCUUUGGGCAAUAGUAGUGUGUUGCAUAUAUUGUCCGGUCAUAUGGAUGCUUGAGAAAUAAAGAAAUGUUGUACGACCCAACAUUUAAGUCCAAAAAUGAAAUCAAUCUUUGCCCAUUGAUUAGGAGGAGUGCAUUCUUGAAACUUCUUCCCAGAUGUGACGUCAGAAUAUGGAACCAUGGGAUGGUCUUUAAUGACAUGUUCUAAUGCACUGUGGAAAUACUUUACCAACUUGUUUCUAUUUGUCAACAGAACAUGUUUCUCUAUAAACCUUUCUUCAUUUUUUUAAAUUGUCAUAAGAUGGCAAAAUAUUUCUACCUAACCUGAUGAUAGGCAACUAAAAAGAGAAUUUAACCUUUGAAAAAAAAUAUCCAUUACAUUCCUAUCUUCAAAGUGUGUAAGAUUCGAAUAAAUGUUAAAUUUCACCAAUGUAAAAUGGUUUUGUAAUCUAUUUGGAGUAAUCCUUUAAUCCCAGACUCUGUUUAUGAUGGUUUGAGAAUCUAAUCUAGAAUGACUCCUUAAUCCUAGGAUGCCUGUCUAGCAAUCCAAUUGCUAGUGGCAGAUUGAUUCAUGUGUUUAUGUUCCAGUUUACAUCUGUUCUCUGGUCCUUAGAUCCAAGUAUGACAAAUAUUAUGUUUAGGAUGGCAAAGCAGAUCACUUUGUUUGGUGAGGAGAAAAUGCUCAGUAGAUGAUUCUCAAUUUUGUUUCUAAGUAGUCAUAUUCAAAAAGGAGAAACCAGAGCAUUGCAAAAAAUGAGGUGUUGUUGGUGGGGUGGAGAAAAAGUUUGAACUUGCAGAGUGGUGGAGCGUUCCUGCUAAAGUUUGUAUGUCCUAGUAUUUGGAGUAACUCCUUAAUCUUUGGUUCUGUUUAUGAUGGUUUUAGAAUCUAAUGUUGAAUGACUCCUUAAUCCUAGGAUGCCCUUUUAGCAAUCCAAAUGCUAAUGGCAGAUUGAUGCCAUGUGUUUAUAUUCCAUUUUACAUCUGCGCUGCAGUCCUUAUAUCCAAAUAUGACCAGUAUUACGUUUUGGAUGGCAAAGCAGAUCACUUUGUUUGAUGAAGAGAAAAUGCCCACUAGAUGAUUCUCAAUCUUGUCUCUAAGUAGUCAUAUUGAAAAGGAGAACACCAAAGCAUUGCAAAUUAUGAGGUCUUGUUGGUGGGGUGGAGAAAAAGAUUGAACUCGCAUAGGGGUGUAUCCUGCCUGCUAAAUCUCGUAUAUCUAUUUUUUUAAGAUGGUAGCCACAUUUUAAUAUUGGUGGCAACGUUUUGGGCUUUAUCAACACUAAUGCUUAACAUUUGUUCGGUAGCUUGAAGAUCAUCAUGAUGUUCAUAUCUAACGUUCAUUUGGUUGCAUGAAGAGUAUUCUGUGUGUUCAAUAUUAUUGGACUUAUAACUGUAAAAUUUUUUUGUAUUGUCUGGAUUCUUUUACAUGACUUGCAUUUGUCCUCAAUAAAUCAUGCUUCUGCAGUUUUAUCUCAUUUUUCUAGUGGUUGGUAGUGCACCUAGUCAUUUAUUAUCAGCCUAUUUGACAUAUAAAUUCCUUCAGCAGCCUUUUCAGUUUAUUCAAGAAGUGUAGAUGGAUUUGUUUUAAAUUGGUUCUUCUUUACAGGAAAAAUCAACCCCACAGCGUGAUGACAACUACUCACAACGUAGGGAUGAGCAGCGUACAGCAGUGAGAGGUUCCCCUUUUUCACAGAGGGACUCAAGAGUACGUCAUUCUAGUCCUGAUUUUCCUUAUCCAGACAAAUCUAAAGUGCAUGAUAAGAACGUGGAACCCAGUGAGGUGUUAUGGAUUGGCUUUCCCGCUCAACUGAAAGUUGAUGAGUUCAUUUUGAGGAAAGCAUUUGCUCCAUUUGGAGAGAUAGAGAAGAUUACAGCAUUUCCUGGCCGUACUUAUGCUUUUGUUCGUUUCAGAAGUGUUAAGGCCGCUUGUCGGGCAAAAGAUACUCUUCAGGGGAAAUUAUUUGGCAAUCCCCGUGUACAUUUAUGUUUUGCCAAAAGCGAAUCUGGAACAUCAAAUAGAGAAAGGAACUCAAUUAAUGCUCCCCAGUCUCCACAAUUCAGGUCUCAUGGACAUGCCUCUGACAGCAGCCGUAAGGACAGGGAUUUUGGUGGCUUAACGGGAGAUCUCAAUGUCAGAUCUCCUAGGUUUAUGUCAAAUUUUGAGCCCGGUGACCCAGAUAUAAUGAGUUUUGGCAGUAAGAACGGUGCAUGGGCCGGUGGGAAUGGUGCUUUUGAGCAGAGGUUCUAUGACUUCGGCUCUGAGCAAGGAAUACCAGGAAAUGCCUAUGAGCACCGUAGUAGUCCUCCAGGGAGCAGGGGUCCACACUUUCGUGAGUUUUCUCCUCUGGAAUUUCCUAGACAAGGUCCAUAUGAUGAUGAUCCUUUUGAUUUGCCUGAAGAUUCCUUGCUUUUUCCUGGAGCUAAAAAACUGAAAACCAGCUCCUUUGCUCCAGAAAAUGAGUUGCCAGAGUAUCCUUUUUCUGAUUCAGCACAAGCAAAACGUGUUCCUUCUGGAGCCUAUAUGGAUUUCCAGCCUGAUGCUUAUGAAAAAAGCAGUGAUUCUGAACCUUUUGGUUAUAAGCAGAUUCAAGAUCACCCUGUAAAGUCAACUCAAAAUUAUGAUGUUAGAAAUGAUCAUUGGAGUGCACCUUAUGAUGGUUUUCAAAUGGUCUCUGCUCCAUUACCUUCAUACCCCGAACGGACAAGAUUGGCACCUGAAUCUCAGCAGUUAUAUGUUAAUAAAGAGUGGAAAUGGGAAGGGACAAUAGCUAAAGGUGGAACUCCUGUAUGUCGUGCUCGCUGCUUUCCUGUGGGUAAACUUAUGGAUAUGGUGCUGUAAGUAUUAAACUUGUCUUUCCAUAUUUUUGUGGGUUUAUUGUUGUCAAUAGACCUUCAGAUUCAGAGCUCAUUGAAUUAUAUCUUCCAGCCAGGUCUUCUACUUAUAUUGCAUCCCAUAUCAAUGCUCCUGCACUUGCUGGGGUGUGUUUUACCUGCUAUAAUUUGUCUGCAUCAAACAAUUGCUGCUUGUUUUUCUGGCAUUGAAGAUUUGAUUGUUAAAUUCAGGAAAUGAAAUCAGUGAUGUAUUUUCAUCUUUAAGAUCAAAUGAAAUUUCAGAAAAAUGAAAUUAGUGAUUUUGAAGUUAAAAAAAACUGAUUAUUGUUGAAACUGACAACUUGAUCAGUGUAAGAAGAGGACCCUUUCAAGGAAUGGUGCACACCUGUAAUAUUUGUACUUGUGCAUAUCAGUUCAUCUUAGUUGCUUUUUCCAUCAAAUUCUAGAAGUUUAACAGUCUGGAUAAUGGCAAUCGUGCAAGGCAUAAUUGAAUUUUGGUUCUGUAAGAAUUGUGCAUGUGUUUCCUUCUUUUCCACAUGCUGGAUUCGUGUAGCAUUCUCAUCUGAUAUCAUUGUCUCUGGAUUUUGUAUAUAAACACGUCAGUUGCUUUUUCUGGAUAAUGGUAAUUGUGCAAGGCAUAAUGAAUGUUGAGCUCUGUGACAAUUGUGCAGAUAUUUCCUUCUUUACCACAUAUUCGACUCGCAGUAUAACAUUUCUCAUCUGAUAUCCUUGUCUCAGGCCUGAAAUCUUAGACUGCACAGCAAGGACUAGCUUGGAUAUGCUUGCAAAGCAUUACUACCAAGCUGCUGGUGCUUGGGUGGUUUUCUUUGUUCCUGCAAGUGAUCCUGACAUAGCUUUGUAUAAUGAAUUCAUGAAUUACUUGGGGGAGAAGCAGAGAGCAGCUGUUGCCAAAUUAGAUGAUAAGAACACGUUAUUUCUUGUACCUCCUUCAGACUUCUCAGAGAAAGUACUGAAAGUACCAGGUAAAUUGAGCAUCUCUGGUGUUGUUCUGAGAUUAGAGCAUCCUGGUCCCAGUUAUGGAUCUAUCCAUCAGCAAGAGAAGAAAAAGGCGAACUUUACAUCUUUACAUGGUAGCACAUCGGUUGUGAAGCCAAUAUCACCCUCAGAGUUGUAUCAUAGUAUGCCAACUUUACCAGACAUUGAUAGACCUCCAGUAAGAAAUACAUCUUUUACUGAGAAUUUCUCUUCAGGACCUCUACCUGCAUCAUUUUCAAGAUCUGAUGUAAGAAAUACAUCUGGCAACUUGUCAGACUCCAUUGGUGACACCAGGCAUGUUAAUGCAUUUCCACAGCACAAAACUAUGGUAGGUCCAAAAUGGUCUCCUCAUGACAUGCAAAAUUUAAGUUCAAACAUCCGGAAUAUUCGAUCACAGACAAAUAGCAUGGUUAAUUCCAUCACUGAGGGGUAUAACCCACAACCUGUGAGCAGAAUUGGCAACCAAGCCCUUCAAGAAAACUUUCCCGCUCUUUCAUCAAUGCCUCCCACCGCUCUCCAGCCUGAGCAACUUGUGCAGUUGGCUACUACUAUUCUUGGACAGCAGAGGCACUCUGGGGCUCUAUCUACAGGCUCAGACUGGGCACAGCAAAACAAUGCACUGCCAAAUUAUCAAGUUGGUCCUGAGACUUCAUUGUCACAAUAUGGACAAAUACAGCAACUGCAGCAGCAGAUUCCAAAUUUGCCUGCAAUGCCUCAAAGAGAGCUUCAGCCUGGUUCUAUGGUGAAUCAACAACAACAGAAUGCUGGACAGGGGGAAGGUGACACAGAGAAACGCUUGCAGGCAACUUUGCAGUUGGCAGCUGCUCUUCUACAGCAAAUUCAACAGGGCAAGGGGACCUGACAAAGUAGCAUCUGUAUUAGGGAAAGUGUUGAAUGAUAUAUAUCAACUGGAAGUAUAUAGUGAAAGUAUUUCAGCUUGAAUUAACCUAUAGAAAUCGAACCAGCCAGAUUUAAAGGCUAUGUUGAUAUUACGAGUUUUGACAUUUUCAGGUCAUAUUCUGGUUUAGCCUUUCUGUGUAUGUGCCAAGUGUGGUUCUUGUUUACAGGUGCAGUUGCCUUGCUAGGGGCUGACCCAAGGAAUGUGAUUUUCUUUAUUGGUUCUUGUUCAGAGGUGCAGUUGCCAUGUUAGGGGCUGGCCCAAGGAAUGUGAUUUUCUGUACUUAUUUUCUUUUCCACCUAUUAGUUAUCGGACAAAUGUGGAGAUCUAACAAAUACUGUCAAAGUUACGUAGCUUUUUACUGAAAUGCUUCUUGAAUUCGGUGAAGCUUCGUUAAGACAGGUACACAGUACUACAAACGUAAACUGCAUUAUGUUUGAAUAUACUAGACCAGAAUGCAUUAUUCUUAAAGUAACGUACAAGGUAGAAGUUGUGCUAGCUCUGUGUCAAAAAGAACAGAAUUUUAGUUUGUGAUUCCAAGAUAGAGAACUGUCACAUAAACUGCAACCAGGCAUUUUCCUCAGAAUGGAGCAAGGAUAAAUUUAUGGUGAUUAAAUUCGUUGUUUAAGUAAUGUAGAUGAAAAAAGGAAAGGGUUUCUUGACUUCUAGUUGAAAUUUAGCCACUUAAGAUUUGUUUUGCCAAAAUUUGAUAGAAAAGGAUCUGGGAACCCUUAUCCUCCAAAGGAGAUAUAAUAAAAGAGUGAGAGAGAGCGAGAGAUUUUUACUAAACUUUUGUUACCACUAUAGACGGCAAAAAGAGAGGGUCAUAUUGUAGAAUGUAGACAAAAGAAAACUUUUUGCUGAUUUUUUCGUUGUUCAACAUAGCUUUACAAAAGAAUCAAUAGUUUACCUACAAAAAAUUGUUAACAAUAACAGAAUUGUCUUUUGACUCGUAUUCAGGUAGUGGUAUGCUACAAAAACUCCAGGUUACCAAUUACGGUCGGUAUAGCUUGAAGUCUGUAAAGAGGCAUAAAGUGAAAAUGUACAUCUAGAAGUACAAAUAUGUGGACGAGUCCAUCCCAUUUGCUGUGUCUCGUGAAAGAAUUGAUCGAGCUUCAGUUAUGGAGCGAGGGGGAUCAAGAUCUUUCUCUUGCAAAGCAUUUCCUUGCAAUCUUUGCAUUUGGGAAGCAAAUAUAUCAUCAAGAACCUAAAAGAUAAAUGCAAAAGAAAAAUGGAUCACUCUUCUGAUUAUUCCAAUCAUUGGACAACAAGACAGUCGUCCAAUCAAACCAUUCUAAAGGCCUGAAGGAAGAUGAAUUGACAUUGUAGAUUUGAAGACCUAAAAUUUUUGAGUUUGGGAAAGGGAAUUGUUGUCUCAUGAAGAAUUUCUGCUUACCCCAAGAGCAUGAUAGGAUCCACUGUACCAGACUCGAUUUUCUUUCCUCCCCUCCAAAAAUUUCACUACAAUCUAAAGAAACAGAAAGUUCCAAUAAGUAACUAGAAGCGAGAAGAUUCUUAAAGGGUAGAAAGUCAGAGGAUUGUUGAAUUCACCUGUCCCAUUUUAUCCCAAAAUCCACGACAAAUUGCAACAAAUAUUCGACUGGUGAACACCUCGUGCAAGUUGGAUAUGGACUCUGAGAGUUGUGAGCUCAACACUUGCAUUCUUUCACGAAUUUCGGCUUCUCCAUCUGUUACUUUUGUUUCCUCCAAGAUCCUUUGCAGCCUUGUGUUCCGACUAGAUUGCAUCUGAAAUAAUCAUUGAUUUGCAUAGUUUCAACAUUUGCGUAUGUUUUUCAAGUCUAAAACUAUAACAAACAACCUCUGUGAUUCUACGAAAUUUUAGUAUGAUCACCAAAUUCUGAAGUACUGUGUAGGGCACCAGAACAAAAUUAUGCCAAUCAACCCAUUACUGAUCCUCCCCCAACCAAAGAAGACCAGAAAGAGAAUCUUAUUUAUCCAUUCUGGAAAAGUUCCCUGAUUGUUUUUUGUUGUCCUUGUAUAUUAGAUAUCCAUCAUAGACUUAAAAAACUUCAAGGUGAACCUAUACUGCCAGCUGCAGGCACAUUUGAAGACAAAAACUCUUUCCCUUCUUCCCAGUUACAAUUUGAUGACGGGGUUUCAGUUCCACAAUAUAGGACAUAAUAGCUAACUCUUGAAGAAGUAAACUGCAAGCCUAGUAAUAAAGUAUCAUGCAUUUCAUGUUGAGUUGUUCUUUGUGAUUUUGCUUUCUACUCUCAUUCAUUUCUUAUGUUUAUGGUUAAGUGGAUGACUAUCAUUCACGUUGUUCAAAAAGAAGUAUUCACCACGAUCUCUGUUGAAGAGAAAAGUAGGCAUAUUGUGCUUACGUUGCUUGCGAGCUUCACCACAAUUGCUUGCAUGUAAUUCUUGUAUUUAGUUCUGAGCAACACAGUAACACCAUUCAUUUGUUCUCCAAAACUUGACUUCUUCUCGCCGUUGACAGGAAGAUAGGAUGCCCAUGCCUUGAGGAAAUCUUCAGUGCUAGGGUGUAGGACAUCUAAAACUCUCUUAAGGGUGUUUAGAAAGGUACCCAACUACCAAGAGAGAGAAAGAGAGAGAUGUUAUUUUAAAUACAAGUCUUGUCCAUGACCAAAAUUCUGUUAGUUGUAGCAAAGAUAUCAAUUCAAACUAAACCGUGAUAACUAGUCGUGAGUGAUGUUUCUAAUUUAUAGCAGCUAAAACAAACCAGCCUAGUUUCAGCAUCUGGUAUUAACCUUAGUAGAGAUGCUAUGAUUACUAAUAUACUUCAUUUAAAAGUUUAGGAACUUUUGGAACCUCCAGCUGCAUUUUAGUUAGCCAAGUAUGAAAAAUAUUGCAAAAUGACUAUGCUAUUAGAAGACUAGGCAUCAGUGUGCACUAACUUGCAGUGGGGCAGAAUAAAGUGCAGUGGAUUGCCUUCUUGCUAAUUUCUGAACUUGCAUCCCGAGCUUUUUGGGAACACUAUCCUUCAAAGGAGUCAAGAUAUCAUUGUACUGCUUUUCCAGUGCUUUUAUAAUUGCUCUUUCGAUAUUGGCAACAGCCUGUGGAAGUAUGAAAAAUGAAUGUUAGCAAAUACUAGGAAGCUAGUAAGUCAAUUUGUUAUUACUUUUUAACAGUUCACAGUUUAGACUUAGUGAUAUAAAUGCUUUAAAUAGUGGAUCAUUUGGUUACAACACAAACAGAUGCAUGCAGUUGUGAUAUUAGCAGUUGUUUGAUUCCAGAAACAAAACAAUAAGUAUAACUUACACUCUCCAAAACCAUUGUGUACUCAGGCCAUCUGUUGAUGACUACUUCAUACUCAUGUAACAUAACUUUGAGUUUCUCAAACAUUUCCUCAGCAAAGGGAGAAGUAGAAUAAUUUGUAAUUACGCCAGACCAAGGCACCUGCCAAAUAGAUGUCAAGUUAUUGGAAUCACAUUUUUACAAUCCAAAAAGAAUCAUUGCUUGCAGUAGCAUUAUUUACCCUCAAUAACUCAACUGCACCACAUGAAAGUUAAACAGCACUUAGGAAAAUUACCUUUUCUGCUUUGCAUUGAUCAAGGAGGCUAAGUUGCAUUUCUUGUAUCCAGACCAUUAUAUAGUUAUGGUACAGAUCUCUUGAGUCCACACCACCCCAAACUGCACUGUCAAAAUCAAAAUACACAACUUCAGGAUGAAAUUGCAUCUUUUACCAAUGAGAACUAAGUACACCUACCAACUCGGCUGGCAACUUGAAUCCAAAAGGCAUUGUGUACUUAAAUAAUAUCAAGGAAUGUGGAAUAUAUGUACCUGAUGUUCCAUGACUCAAGAUUUCUCUCAAAAUCAGCAGUUGCAAUCAAAAGUCCAUUAACAUAUGGCAUGGGACUUGAAGGAGGCCAUGCAGAAAGAAAAGCUCUAAGCCUUGUACACAGCUCGGUACUGUAAACUGUGGCAGUGAUAUUUGCCAGGUCAAUUGAACUAAUAAAAAGGAAAAGAUAUCAGAUAUGUGCUUGUUUUAGAGCUGCUAAAUGCCCACAGAUCAGAAAAAGAAAAUUCUACCAGUGUUUAUCAAAUAUUCAUGAGAAAAUAAUAUAAAUUAGGAAGGUAACAGGUAGUUGUUACUGAAUAACGACCUAGUUGCAAGAAUUUCUUGAAGCUAUUGCCAUUCCAUAGGCAUAUCAGUCUAAGAAUUUAUAAUAUCUGAUACAUAAUCCUGAACUUGUAAACCAUUGACAAGCUUGAUGAAAAGUGGAGGAUCUUGUACCUUGGGAGUAUGUGCUGAUUGUGGAUCUUAAGAUCAGCCUGAAUCUCACUGCUUAUUUUGAAGCAGAGAUUUUUCAUCUUCAAAUAUGCUGUGGUCAUAGUCAUGGAAUCUAUGACAAAACCCUCAGAGUUACUUGACAGAAAUUCAUCUGUCUCCAACAUGUGUUUUCGGCACCUUUUCAUUGCUGCUGUCUGUUAGAAGGUGACAUUCAAUCUAUUGUUCAGUCUUAAUAAUCAAAUGAACUGAAGCAAGGCAACCUACUGUCCAUUUACUAUCCAUAGGUGUCAUACCAGGGGAAUUCAUUGUAUAAACAGAUGUGGGUGGUGCAUUAUUCAACUUAUGAUUCAUUGAGCAUAAUGAACCUAUCUCAGUCUAAAUGGUAAUAUAUAAAAUACUGAUUGAUUUUAGAGGUACAUAAGACUCACUUGUAAAUAGUUUCUUAAGAUUGUCUGAGAAUCUUCAGCCAGUAUAUCAUGAAGAAGUUUGUAUACUUGCACCGCAGGAGCUAGAGAUGGGGCUGCAGAUUCUAAUAUUGGAGCUGACAUGUCUGCUAUACCCGUUGGAGAUUUUUCAUCUAAUGACUUGUAGUUCUGGAACACAUCUGCUAGGAGACCCUCAACUUGGGUCUCACAGUUGAGCAACAUACUUUUCUGCAGCAGAAGAAAUUAUUACCGUCAACAGAAAAGUAACAUCGGAAUUCACAUUAGUAUGCAUGUAUGGUUACACCUCCUUGUACUUCAGUAAUGCACUUUAGCAAAUGCAUAUCAAUGAGUCCUCAAACUUGAUGUAAACAUGAACAUUAUGCUUCACAUUUUGUUAAACUUUACAAAUUUAAGGUUAAGCCAACCUAGUUGUGAUUAUUUUAGAAACAGUCUCCUUCACUGACCCACAGAAAAGAUAUCAAACUGGAGAAAUCUAAAAAGCUUGAACAUUUAACUCUGAAUAAAGCUCUAGAAAGGUGGUGUAGAUCAACUCUUAUAAACUUUUUAAGACUCCUAACUACUGCUAUCUUGGAGGAUGGCACAUGCAAACCCUGAUAUGCAAAAACAGUUUUGGUGAUUACCUCCUGUCUAGUCAAACUUUUCUCAUUUCGAGCCUUGAUAACAGGCGAAAGCAACUCAUAUACAAGCUCUAUACAAUCUUUGGUUGGAGUUGCAACAUUCAUCACGCAUGAAAGAUACCUGUAAAUAUUUGCUAGUAAGUCUUGGGGAAAGUAAUCACAACUGACAAGGAAGUCCAUUGGAGGUUUAAAUUUAAGCACCUGAGUUUGGUAUAUGAAUUUGAAACUCCAUAAUACUCAGAAAACUCAAUGAGUAGCCAUUUCCAGGGUCCAUCUAGAUGUAAAUUACGAGCAUGAAAUUUUUGUGCACGCAUGGCAGCCUCCAUCAGUAGAUCAUAUGCAAGGGUUUCCACAAUAGGUCCAUUCUGUUGCACAAAGGUGAACUUAAGGUGAUUUCAACUUUUAAAAAAUAUCUUUUUAAAUGAAAGGAAUAUGCAACAGUACUUAAACAAUAUUUCAAAUCAAUAAGCAAUUGAUUUCAUUUAAAGAUUCUUUUUUAAGAAGUUGCUCUUACAUAUUGAUUUGCAAUAUGUAUUCAGCAGGCAACAAGCUUUUGAUUUCAGCAUAUACUGAUCCCAUUUGUUGAAUCUGAAUUUCUUAAUUUACAAGCAACAAACAAGAUUUCACCAUGAGAUUCUAUACUGCCCCAAUACGGUAGUUGAUAAUCACAUACCUUUAACUGAGUUGUUUCAUCGUACGUAAAGGCACACGUAAUAGAAAGCUGAACCUUCCCAAUGCACUCGUGAUCAUCAUGGUAAAUAGGCCACCAUCGAAUUUUGUCAGUCUGCAUGUUUCAAGAAAGAUUAAAGGAUGUAUUGAUUGAAAACCAAAUGAUGUAUAGGUGUCUCUCCUAUAAGAUAAAGGUACAUACUGGAUUGUCUGCCAUUGAUGAAACUGGAAUUGUAGCUUGACCUUGAAUGUUUUUUUUCAAAUCAUGGACUUCAAGUAGAAUAGAAUCUCCUUGGUGUUCUGGAAAACUGAAACAGAGGUUUACACGAACACAUCAACAUUAAAUGGGAAAGAUGUAAGAUCCCCAUAAAGGUCAUUAUUAUUUCCCAGUACGGCAGACCACUAUAGGUCAACAGAGCAUCAACAGUCAAUAAAACAUAAGACAGAUUCAACACAAUUCAGCUAUUUUACAUAGCACAGGAGGUCUAGCAAUUAUUUUUUGUACAGAGAAACCACAACUUUUAUAUAUAAAAUGAUAAAUGGGAAGAAAGUUAGAAAAUGUCAUAUGUACAAUCUUAGUUUUCUUUGUGGAAAGAGAGGAAAGUUUUCUCAUUUGUCUUAGUAAAUCUGCCACAAAACAUACUCUCUUUCUAGAACUUAGAGUAAUAAUAAACACAACUACAAAGACCUUUGAUUCUUUCUACUAAGACAGACAAUAGUCAUUAGGUAUUAGGCCUUCUCUUUUCAUCAUAGAGAGCCAUUGGUACCCACUUUAAGCUAGCUACAUAUGCUUCUGAAAGAUAUAUACUCUACAAACAUAUUGAAGUUGUAAAUGCCAUAAACAGAAUCCCCAGAUAAGCUGAAUAUACACAUCAGCAACUUACAAAUCAUGGUAAUCACCAGUUCCGGGCUGCAAUGAAGUGGUGGAACCUGUUUCAUCUUGAUUUUCUUCCAGAGAACUUUUCAACUUAAGUAAGCAUGAUAGUGAUUCUGCAAACAGUGAAGCAAUCAGUUAAACUAAGUACCUCAGAGAAAAUAUUAGUUUAAGGAAAGCAAAUAGAUGUUGUCACAUAUAUUGCAAAUGAUAAAAGCUGCAUAAGGCUUUACAAUUGAUUCCAAACUUUUCAUGGAGAGCUGAUGUUAGUUUUUUUUUUUUUCUAGUAUUAGCUUUGGAAUUAAUUGUCUUCCAAAACUAGUAGAAAGACUUGAUUUCAUGACAAACCUUCAGUUGGCAAAGAAAAUGAAGCAAGUCUCAAAGAAUUCAUGCCACUCUUUACUAGUGAUGAAACAUGCCGGACAUACUCAGCUCCCACUUGCAUGUACAUUGCACCUCUCAAUGAGUUUGUGCUUUUAAGCCUCCUCCUUGGUAUUAUUCGGAGUUUUUUUACUGCCAGAAAACAAUUACUCAUAUCACAAGAGAAUUUUCAUCAGUGAGUUCUCAGACAAAAUAAAUAACAUUGUCCCUAGAUAUUACGCUGCAUGACAAGGUAAUUUUCAUCUUUCAGUAGAAUUAGUUGGCCCAUAUCACCAAAUAUUGAGAAUAAAAUUUACCAAAAGAUCCAGAGAUAUUUAACUGAUUAUUCAGAAGUAGCAUGACAUGUACUUAUUAUGAAACAAUUGAUUUAGAGCAAGUAAACAUGAGUAUAUCCUAUUAUUAAAUUUGUUUGAUGAUUAAUUUCUGUAAGGAGUUGGUGAAAGGAGCCUGUCCAACAAAAGAAGCAAGGUUUUCUUCUUUCCUUGCUCAAUGCUAACUUCAAUCACCUACCAAUAGGGAUCGCUCCCAGAAAGCACAUAAAGCAAGACUUUGUUGCAACAAUCUGAGUAUAAAAAUUACUGAAGAAACUAGCAGUUUAACUUAGAAUGAUGAAAUAUUGCAAAUCAAAUCUGUUCUGAAAACCAACACACGGUUUGAGGUUCUUCAAAGUGAGAUGCAUCUGCUUUGCAAAUAAUUAGCUGAAAAAAUCAUUGUUCUGCUCAUUAAUUAGAAGAGGUCAGAGGUACCUAUCUCAUUAUCCAUGAAAUUAUAAUACUAAUAAAAUCAAAUCAACCAAAAUUCUUUUAGUCAGUGUGCACCAGAUACAGACCAAGUCUACAAUAGCAAACCUGACUCUGUCGUCCAUCAUUAUCUCAGCUAAAAGAGAACAAAUUGAGCCUCAAUCUAUCAAGCUAAUGGAUAAACCUUAUAAAAAGUAUAGAUGCCAUACCUUCCACACGAAUCUUUCCGGCAAUCUUUUUUGGUUUCAACGGCAAAGCUUGUUCUAUUUUCUUUCUUGUACUUUCUACUGAUUGUGUGCCUUGGGGUUGCAAAAGGAACUUGUGCAGACUAGGAAUAAGAAAAAAGCAGAAACUCAUCAUUUAGAAACAACAAGUGACAAGGAUUUUCUUUAUUCUAGUGACAUAAUAUGGUGAAUGUGGGAUUGACGGAAUGCAUACAUACCCAAACGCAUUGCGUAGAAGCAGACACUCAUCUUUUAGAAAUUCUGGUGCUUCUGCACAACCUCUUGCCCAUGCAUUUAAGCAUAAGCGAAUGCAUGCAUCAUAAGCUAUCAGAAUUUGCCAGGCAUUUUGAUCACUGUAGCCAAAGGUUUGAUUUUUAUUAGAUAUUUAAUUGGUUAGUGAGCUUAUUAAGCAAAGCCCCCAGUAUUCAGAACUUAUAAGAAUGUGCAAAACAUGCAGCCUACUGCUAUAUGCAUAAUAAUUAGAUAAUCAGUAGUGAAUCAACAGCUUAAGUGCACUUCAUUGCCAAAAGAUGUGAUAUGUGCUAGUGAUACAAAAUUGUCCUCUAUCUACAAAUUUGUUCAAGCUGCAUCAGGUUGGCCAUUUACAAUAACUGUACUGAUCAUAAAAUUUCUCGACAUCUAUUUGCAUACUUAGAAGUUGCUACUGAUGCAAACAUCCAACAACAAAAAAAAAAAGAAAAGGAAACAUAUAAAUUUCACUUGUAGGAAUCAGGUACGAAAGUUAUUAGUAUCAUUUACUAGCCUCAUCUAUUACACAGUAGUAAAAUAUUGAACUAGUACAAUUGGUUGAGGUGAUAUUAAUUGACUAUUACCUUGCAUCAUAAUAUGGAGAGCAAUUCCUUGGCUUUGUUUCCCAAGUACCCUUCAAUGCUUCCAUUUCCGCUGGUGUCAUCCCAUUCUUGUCCCUGCAGCUAAGACAAAUAUUAGGUUUACUUGAAGUAUCAUAGAGGCAACAAUUUCAAGCUGCUCUUUCAUCAGAAAAUUGGCGGUUACUGACCAAAGUACGUUACCUUUCCCCAACUUCAUGUUCAAAAGAUUCUUCAUUUUGAUCUGGAAAGACAUCUUUAAUACCAGCAUGCUGCUUUGCUGAUUGUGUAGACACAUUUGAAUCCUCAUUUGUCUGAUCAAAUUCUCGCACAGCACCUGAGCUUUCACUACAUUCACUUACAACCUCAGAGCUCUGCCCAUCUCUUCUAAUCUCCAUAAUAGGUGGAGCACUAGGAGUUCCUAAGUCAACCACAUUACUUAACUUGCCAACUGGUGUAGCCUGCAUCCUCAAAUAAACAACAAUCGCUAUUAGCAAUAGAAUCAUUAUCAAACAAUCAACAACAAAGAGAAUCUUCCAAGUCUAACAAUUAGUUUAGUUCAAAGGAUUAUCCAGUCUUACAUAUGUGCUGUGAGGUUGAACUACUACUUUUCGCAAAUGACAACUUCCACUGGAAGCUGCAUUUCUUCGGCCACAUCCAUCAAAACCCAACUCAGUAUCAGUAUAUCUUCUAGUAUUUUCUGGCACUUCAAUCCGAAGACUUUGUUUCGACCCUCUGUUCAACAUAGCCCUAUAUCGGACCCCUGUUUGUGUUCCUCUAAUAUGAUCCGAAGUUGUACUUCUUUGCACAGUGAACAUUUCUUCAUUACACUGCAGUGGAAUUGGCUUAUCAAAUUCUUCUUCAUCAGAACAAAUUCCAUCAAGCUCGUCAGGCACAGAUGCCACACUUUCGCUGUCAACAUCACCACCAUCAUCAUCACCAUAUUCAUCUUCACUACUAUCCAAACUUAGUGCCACAGGCUUGUGGGGCCCCAGAAGGCCAGAAUGGAACUUCAAAGGGGGCAGUGCGUGAGAACUACCAGAACUGUAUCCCAAUGGAGAUCUGGGAAUUGGGUAUGUUUUGUCAUACUUUUCAGUUAAUGGUGAUCUCAUCUGAGAUUUUUCAGUAUCUGAUCCCUGCAGACACAGUUCUUAAUCUUGAAUUGCAGUUGAAACCAAUACGCAAGUAUACACCACCUCGUGUUGGGAAAAGAAGAAUUAUAAAAUAUUGGAAAAUGGACAGUACAGGAUAAUAUUUAUAGGAAAGAUAAAGACAGAAGCAACAAAAAAGGAACGAAAUUUCUCGUGUGUAUCAAAUCCAAAAUGAAGAAAAGCAGCAACCUUUCUGCAACUAUUCCGUUUAAAAUUUGCAUAGUUCAGAAAAAAAAAAGGCAAAGUUCAACUUCGUGCUAAUUAAGUUAAGAACUUGAGGAAAAAAUGAACUCUAGUUAGCGGUGAAUUGGCAAAAGAAAAGAGAAAAGCACCAAACUUUACACUAUUCUGACAACGCAUAAAAUAGUUUACUUUCUCACAUGAUAAUCAGCAAAUUUGAUUCUGUCAGUGGCUAAUUCAAGAAAUUGAAAAAAAAAAAAAGAAAAAUCUGGAUUCUGUUUAGCUGGGGGCAUUUUACCUGCUUGAUCCAGUUGAUUGCAGAUUCAUCCAACCCUUCAGUAAACAUCAUUUCAACUGAAAUGCACACAGACGCACUGAAGCUGAUGAAAAGAAAGGUUGACGAAAUGGGAUUCUGGAAAAUGGUGAAAUUAAGCGAACGAUAAAUGAUAUACUGAUAGUUUAUAAGCUUUUGGUAGCUGAGAAAUGCAGACACGGAGGAAGGAGCGCUGUUUCCAGUUGGACGAGGCCAGCAGCACUUUCAUAACGGCUAGUUUUGACGAAAUGUAGGAAGGCAUGAUUUGAGAAAAGGUCCGAAAUCCAAACGUAAUACGGGUUGUCUAGAAUGCCCGAACCGUAAUCCAAACCCAAGUUGAUCUUUGAUAGUAAAAAUAAAUAAAUAAAAUAAAAUCGGCAUAUAUUAUUCAUCAUGUUACGUGGGGUGAUUUAAAUCUGUUAGUUGUAAAGAAAAUGAAAAUUGUACGCUGAUAAUAGUAUAUAAAAAAUAAAUUAUAAUUUGAUAUUUCUUUAACAUUUUGUUGCUAGUACUACAAGGUGAGCCAUUGAGCUAAGAUUUCUAAACUUGAAUUACUAACUUUUGCCUACAUUUAUCAUUAUAUAUUAUUCACGCCCCACUAAUUUUCUACAAAUGCAUUUCGGGAGAGUUUUAGGCAUUCAAAUAUUUAAAAUUUGUCUAGCUGUGUUUAGGGAUGACAAUGGGGCGGGGUUGGGGCGGGGGAGCCCGCCCCGUUGCCUAUUAGUUCCCCCCGUCCCCCGCCUCCCGCUCCCCCCGCCCCCGCCCCGCCUUGCCCCACGGGGGCACCCGCGGGGUUAAUAUAAUUUUAUUAUAUAAUUUUAUUAUAAUUAAAUUUUAAUAAAUAAUCAAGUACUAAAAUAUCAACACAUCACCAAAUUAUUAUUCAUUGUAAUUUUACAAUUGAAACUCAUAAAAACAAUCAAACAGAAGUUAUUUGAAUACAAUCCAAUAUGAUGAAAUAAAUAUAACUAAAAUAGUCAAGUUUUCACUUUUAGUACAAAUGCAAUUACUAAUUCAUUAUUGUGUUUGUGCUUUGUUUUGAGAACAAAAUGUUAUUCUAUUAAGUGUAAUUAGAAAUUUAGUAUAAAUGUAUUAGUAAAUUUAGUAUAACUAAUUAAUAAAUUCUAUUAGUAGACAUGUAUAAUUAUUCAUAAUAUUAGUAGACAUGUAUCAAUUAUAUUACAUAAACUAAUAUACAUUAUAUAAUACAUCUAAUUAAUAAUAUCAUUAUCAUAAGUUUAUAACUAAUUAACUUACAUAUUAUAUAUAUAUAUUCAUAUAUAUAUAUUUUUUGUUUUGCGGGUGGCGGGGCGAGGGUAUACUCCCCCGCCCCCCGCCCCCGUUUCUAAGCGGGGGGAAAAAAUUCCCCCCCUCCCCUGCCCCAACCCCCGUCCCGAGAGCCCCCCGCAGGGCGGGCGCCCGCGGGCACCUGCCCCCAUUGCCAUCCCUAGCUGUGUUUGGAUCAAGAGGUUUGUUUGAAUUACUCGGGAGAUAUUUUGGUUUGUAAUCCAUUAACUAUUUGAUACAUUCAAAACCUAAAAUAAUUGGAGGAGUACAAAUCCAAACAUAUAUCUUCCAAAUUAUCUACACAAUUUAGAGAGAUUUGAAAUUUUUGGUCAAAUUUCUCAAUCCAAAACACAGCAUAAAGUAAAAUAUCUUUAGCUAAUUUUUUUUUUGGGUGCGAUUAUUUUAGCUAAUAAAACGUUAAACAGGGUGUCAAAUCUAAUUCCACUAUAUUAAAACUCUCUGUAUGUUUUUAAAAACAUAUAAGUUGAGCUUCUAAUCAUUUGACAUUACCAAGUAUUAACUUUCGUGGAUUAAAGCUAUGAAAUAUUUUGAGAAGAACCUAUCUGGAUCUUUUCAUUAUUAUUAUCUUCUUCUUCUUCUUCUUUUUUCUCUUUUUUUUUUUUUUAAGUUUUGACUCUUUCAUUUUUAAAGUGUUCCUUUCGUGCCAUGUUUGUGUUUAAAACUUUAGCAUAAUUAUUGCCUUUGUAUGUGAAUUGAGGGCAACUACAAAGCGACGAAUGUACCAAAAUCCCUUGCCAAAAAGCUAUUUCUACCUCAAGAAACUGCUUAGAUGGGUAAAGAUAUCAAAAUUUACAAGAAACGACAUAAUUUUUUGACUAUGCAAAAAUAAAAAAGUUUUUGAAGUUAAUUAAUAAGCCAUUCAUAAAUUUUGUGUCUCGGAAUAGGUUGCUCAACAUGGAGAAUUUGAGGACCAUCCAUCCCAUCCAAAUAACCAUGAGCUAAAUUAAGUUCCAAACAACAAUGAGAUAUAAUUAGUUCCUCAAGAUUUUUAAUCCAGGGAAUUCCAUCUCACAAGGUUUCAUUUUCAUCACUUCUUGCAUGCUUCAUAUUUCAUAUAUAUAUAUAUAUAUAUAUAUAUAUAUAUUUUGCAUGCAUAAAAUCUUGGCAACUUAUUAGUGAGAAGAAAACGAAAUUUACAUAAUUAAGCAGACCAUCAAGAUUAGACCCUGGAUUACCUUCACUUCAACAUCAUCAUCAAGAUUAACAUGUUUGAUAACUACUAUGAAACUCCAAAUUUUGGUACUGAAAGACUUUUUUGGUUCCAUAUGUACCCAUUUAACUUUAAGGACUAAGCAUCAUUCCAAAGUGCCAAGCCUAGAACCAACAUAUAUAGCAGAACAAGGUCAGCUUUCUCUAGGUUCAGAGCUAAUAAUGCAUUUCCACCAUAUAUAGGCAGUUUUCACCCAAUCUUACUGAAUGCUUGAUGAUCUUGCUUAUAGUAGCUCAUUUGACGAGGCUUGUCUGGAAUUAGAAAGCAAGGCAGCUGAACAUGGAUUCCCUGAUGCAAGAUUGUCAAAAGCUUUGGAUUGGAAUUCUUUCCCAGAUAUUACCAUCAAGCAGCUGAUAGUUUGUUUGUUAAAAUUAAAAAAAAAAAUGCACUUUUGAUGAAUUUGAAUUAUGGAUGUAAAUAUUAUCAGUCUUCCUCUUAUCUUUAAUUUGUUGUAUUUAAAGGCUAAUAAGCUUCAUCUAAUGUUAUUUUCUUGUUUUUCCUUCAACCCCAAGAAAAAAAAAAAAGAAAGAACAAGAAGCUAUAUAUGUUUUUAAUUGAUCAAAAUUGAAAAGAUCAGAUGAUAAAUACGAGUGUUGCACCUACACGUAAAGAGCACUCCCAAUCUCCUCUUCCUCUUAAAUUCUCCUCUUCCCCCUGAUUUUGUACCGUCUCUAUGCUUCCCUCCUCUCAGCUUUCUCCUAAUAAGUUUAUGGGUUAAUUACAUUUACCUCCCCUGAGGUUUGACCAAAUAACGAAUCGAUCCCUGAGAUUUGACCAAAUAACAAAAAGGUCCCUCAACCGUUAGUCUUUGCCGUUGACUGUUAGGGUUAAUUACAUUUACCCCCUUGAGAUUUGACCAAAUAACGAAUCGAUCCCUAAAAUUUGACCAAAUAACAGAUUCCUCCCCCACACUAACUUCUGUCACUUCAUUUAUAUAAUAUAGGAAAAGUAUAAGGAGUUGGUACAUUAUGGAAAGAAAAAAUGCAUACUACAUUUUCAACCCUCUUAUUUGCUAGAAAUUUUAAUUUUACUUUAUCUUUUAAAUAAAUUAUUUUUUGAAAAAAUAGGUACUUUGUUCAUAUAAUUGGGAAAAGUCGUAAAGCACUGGUAUUUUAUGGGAUAAUGGGUAUUACCCUAUGUAAUCCAAAAUUUGUCACACUAUUUCACCAAAUUACAAAAUACGUGUAUGGCAAAUUUUGCAUUACAAGGUCUAUCAAAAUUUACUCUGAUUUUAUCUGUUAAAUAAAUUAAUAAUUUGUUGGAUUCAAAAUUUUAUCUGUUAACCAAAAUUUUUUUCUGAAAACACAAAAAUCGAUAGGUCAAAAAUUUGAUGGAAAUCAAUAAGGGUUAUUCAGACUUUUGGCUAUUUCCGUUACAUAUAAGUGAUAGAAGUUAGUGUGGGGGAGGAAUCUGUUAUUUUGACAAAUUUUAGGGAUCGAUUCAUUAUUUGAUCAAAUCUCAGGGGGGUAAAUGUAAUUAACCCUAACAGUCAACGGCAAAGACUAACGGUUGAGGGACCUUUUUGUUAUUUGGUCAAAUCUCAGGGAUCGAUUCGUUAUUUGGUCAAACCUCAGGGGAGGUAAAUGUAAUUAACCCUAAGUUUAUUUCUUCUUCUUUUCAUGUUUUUUUUUUUUGUUGCUUUUAAUCCCAUCCAUGUAUAGAAAAAUGAAAUGAUUUUAUAUCUAGUAGUAAAAAAAAUAAAAAUUUCAUCCAAAUCUUCAUACAAAGUCUUUGUUUUAUCUAAAUCUUUGCACAAAAACUUUUGCAACAUAUCUUUGCCAGGAAAAGCUAUCAUACACUAAUGUAUGUGUUGGAAUUAUUUCCUCAUUUAGAAAAUUUGCUCUUUUUUUUUUUUUGGCACCAGUUGUCUUACGCGUAGAACCCAGAAUUCACUAAAGAAAUUCUCUAACCAAAUUAUUUCACUGAUUUUUCAUUAAUUUGCUUGUGGCACUUCUCUUAGACGUAGGAUAGAAAUUCUUCCAAAUUUUUUUAGCAUUAUUUUUAGUUUUGAAAAAAAAAAAAAAAAACUAGAUACAGCAGGUAUGACCAAUAUCUCAACAUCAAACAGAGGGGAAAGCCAUUUCAGUUUGCUGAAAGAAGUCGAAUAGCUCAUUCCUUGACGCCCUUAGGUCAUACGUACAACGAGAUAGCAUGAAGGGCAUCUUUCAUGGUUGAUUGCUACGUCAACCUUUGUGGUACUUCCCUUAUAAAUUAUUUUCUUGUGCCCUCCCAUCUUUUAAUCCCGAUUAUUCAAGCAUUGGCCAUAGAAUUAAUUUGUAUUACAAGUUAAUUUUUUUUUUUUGAAAAAAAAAACCCGCUAGUUGCACGUGGAGAUUAAUUGUAUAGGCUAAACAUUGUGAAGCCAAUAUGGAAUAUUUGUGAUCUUUCUUUCAACAAUUGCAAUUGAGCAUUUGACCUUCAAAUAAGUUGUCAUUUUCUUAUACUUACAUUUUUAAUGUGAAGUAGUAUUCGAAGAAAUAAAGAGCAUACUUUUAAAAGUUUAUAGUGAUAAAAUGUGACGGUCCAAGAAAUCACGACACAAAAUGUGAUUAACCUAGCUACAAAAAAUUUUCUUUUGAAAGAGCAGGAAAGACUAAACAGAGAGUUGUACCAUAGGUUAGAGGAGGAUUGGAUUGGAUGAUGAAGUGGGAGGAGUGGUAAGUAGAACGUUCUAAUUCAAUACCUUCCACUUAAAAAAAAAAAAAAAAAUUGUACUAUAGGAUGAUUUUGUAUUUCUCUUAUUCCUUAGUGGGAAAGCUACAACCAUCCCCAAAAAAUUGGACGUUCAAAAUGAUAAAAAGCACCUUUUCUGCUCUUAUAAAAAAAAAAAAAAAUCUCCAAUUCUCAAGAAAAACAAGUUAAAACGGCUAGAGGUCAAACAACAACAAUAUUGAACAAAGGUGCUCUUGCAAAAGUAGAUAAAAUUUUUUUUUUUCCAAGGACCUGCAAGAGUAGAUUUGAAACCAUUUAUGAGAUGCAUGCCACCAUUAAUUAGGUUGGUCGGCAAUAAGCUUGCAUACCUUGCAUUUUGCCCAAAGACACAGGAUCUGAUAUGACCUUCUCAAAAAAUGGUACGCAUCUCGAGAUAAUAUCCUGGACGGUCUCGUCUCGGUUCCUCUAGUCGAUUCUAGUCACGCCAUUGGAGGCAUACAAUUUCAUCCAUGCAAAAUUUUCCUCAAAAAACAAUUAAGUGAAUACAAAAUUAAAUGCCAUAAUUUAUCAACACCUUCGUGCCCGCGCACAAUUGAACUGCCAGUUUAACAAAAAGGUGCCAUUUACAGGAAGUCAUGAAUGCUUUGAAGAUUGCUUCAUCCCUUUCAACAGUUGCAGAUAGAUUCAAACGACUUCGGUUACUUUUACAGCACAAAUGAGAGGACAUCAAUAUACGAUCAAAAUGGGAAGAUCCAAAAAGGACUACAAGGGGUGGGGAAUAAGUAGGGCAAUUAACAGACAAUGGCGGUACAUAAGAGAAUGAAAAAUCUAAAUCACAAAUUUGAUACUUUCGAAACCCUAGCCUCAACGAGCACGUGAAAAAGUUAUACGCCUUCAAGGCACUAUAAUGACAACAUGAGAGCCUCCUGGUAUACAGUAUGGUGCAGAAAGAUUUUGUAGAAAGAAAUACAAUGAAAAAAGUCGAACUUCCUCCAGCUACAGUACUACUACAGGCCACUGUUCUCCAGCUGCUAGCAAAUGAUGAUCGCUCCAAGGUACCUCUUCAAUCAAUCUUCACUGAUGAGAAGAGAUAAUGGACAAAAUAAAAUGAUGUGAGGAAACCAAUUGUACCAGUAGCCAGCAUGACUGCAAUUGCCAUGAUAAGGGAAUAACCAAGAUAAAGUAUUGCUGAUACUGGUCCACUUAAACUCUUCAGGUCAAAGACCAAGUAAUUGAUGGAGUACAAGAACACAUACAGGGCAACAGAACCUGAGGCAUAGAAUGCUUUCCACCACCACAUCCAGUCCUCGACACAGAGAUGCAUAUAAGUGAGUACCACUGAAACUUCAGCACAAACAACUACUAGCAGCAGUAGAACAAUUAGGAGAAAACCAAAGACGUAAUAGAACCGUCCAAGCCAGAUGCUAGAGAGAAUGAAGAAAAGUUCAAUAAAGAGAGUUCCAAAUGGAAGAGUUCCAGCACCAAGAACCAGAAGCCAAGAUGGGUAUUUGCGAGCAGGGAUUUCCCUAGGAAUCUGGUUAGUUCGCACUGGGUAUUGGAUGGGCUCAGCUCUAGUACCCAGGAAACCUCCCAAAAGGGUGAGGGGGACUGAAAUGCAGAACCAGAGUGACAAAAGAACAAAAUACAAGGAAAUUGGAAUAGCACCAGUACUAUUACUUCCCCAGAGGAUGAAAUUCAGAGCAGUGAGAAUAACAAAAACAAUCCCAGGGAAGAAGGAAGCAAUUGACCAAGAAACCGACCUCCACCCUUCUGAGGUACCCUUAAUAGUUCUCCAGAGACGUACACCAGCAUACCCAGCAGCAAUUCCCAGGAAAAGAUACAGAAGUAUCAUUCCUGUCAGCAGCAUACCUCGUGAAGCUGGUGACAUAAACCCAAAGGCUGCAAAGACAAUAGUAACAACUGACAUUCCUAGAAUCUGAACCCCAUCUCCAACCAUCACAGAGAGUAGUUUGGAGUGAUUUGGUUCCCUGAACACAUCACCCACCACAAGUUUCCAUCCAGAAAGCUCUUCAUUCAUUUGAGCCUGAGUUUCUUUAUCCAAUUCCUCAUACCUGGUCAGAUCCCUCCUAACAGUCCUCAAGAAGAUAACAAAAACAAUACCAGCCAAGAAGAAGAUGACCAUCAAUGAGUUAAGGAUUGAAAACCAGUGAACACGGGCUCCUUCCAUCUUCAAAUAAGCAUCCCAUCGAGAAGGCCAUCUAGUAUUGCUUUUCUCAAAUUCAACCUCAUAAGUAAAUGAAACCCUUUCUUGCUGCCUUAUUAUUUGAGCCUUGUCAAGCUCUGAUGGACAACUUGUAGGUUCUAUACUGUCAUACAUAUGAUGCUUUUCCAUCUUAUCAGGAUCAUACUUAAUACUGCAGGGAAUAACCUCAAAACCAACAAUCUCAUACCCAGAGGCCUUCUUUUUAUCUGCCUCAGAAAUGACGCCCAUACCUUCUUCCCCAGUACCAAUUAUCUGCACACCAGCUCCUUCAUAUUCAUGAAUGAAAACCUUAAACUUGAGAUGAUUGAUGAUGUAAUCAUUUUCACUACCUAGUGGCGUGUAGCCAACUGGAAAUCCUGUCCACUGGAUUCUAACUCCAUUUUGGGUGGCAUAUCUCAGAGCAGGUAAAUUGUCCAGAAUAACAUUCACUUGAUAUAGAUCACGAGUUCUCUGUUUCAAAAGCUUGACCUCAUGCUCGCUCAGCGGGGGCGUAGUGCAGAGGUAAAGAGAUUCAUUAACGCUCAUCUUGAAACGGUAGGGAGAAUUAUCAAUCUGGUCUCCCAGAAGUAGUUCACCAAGAUUCUCGGCACUUUUCUUAAUUCCACCUUGAGGAGGGCAAUAAGGAAGACUAUAAUAGCUGAAAGGAAGCUCAGUCUCAAUUGAAGUCAAUGAAUUAACCUUGACAUAUAAUACUUCUCCAGUUGUAUAUGUAUGCAUGUAGGUACCCGGCAGAUAAAACCCAUUACAGAUAUUUGAUACCAGAACCAAGUAAACGAAAGCAGCCCAAUACUUCCUUUUAAAGAUCGAUGGCAAUGCCAUUGUUCAAUAAAAGGAAAAGGAAGUGGAAUCCUUCAAGUUGCACCUGUUCUAAUCCACAAUAAAUGGAUUAGAAAGCAUCAACCCCUACAUGCACAAAAACUUAUUUGAGUUAGCUUUUGCUGCCAUAUCUUCCAACUUCAGGAUUCAUCUGACUGACUUGCAAGGCAACCAGUUUGGCCAGAUUCUUCGAUGAACAGGUAAGCACAAUCAGGUUCAUCAAUUCAAAUUCUUCCAGCUCAAAGACCAAUCAACAAACUAAGUCUGCCUAAUGAAGCAAUAAAAGAAGAUGCUAAAGUUUCACAGUUAAAAAAAAAAUCAAUAAUUCCGUUUUUCUCAAUUAACCCUCUUCUUGUCCAAUAUACGCAGCUAAGAACUCGCCUGCUACCAUCGAUACAAAUCCACAUUUGCUUUGCAGCUCAACAGCUUCAGAUCUAUCUCUUAUCUGCAACAACACUACGCAGACAUGCAAAUAAAUGUACCUCCUAAUUGCUACCCUGCCUAUUGAUCAUCCAUCCACAUACCGCUACAACCAACUAAAGCUUUUCCAUUGAAAUAGUAGAAAAGUAAAAUUAACCACGUCGCCAGCCGCAUUAAUCCAGAUUUCAAUUUUUUUCAACAAGUUAAAUUUUACACACAGCUAUAGCUAACUAACACUAUGCAGGGCAGACAAAAAUCAGUCAUAAUCGAAUAAACAUGAUCACAAGAUCGAUAGACUGAAUCAGUCAAACUUCACAUACUCUGAUAAAUCGGAAACAAACUAAACAAACGUUCUAAAAUGUAAACUUGACAUAGAUCUAUCCAUUCAACCAAAACAAGAACUUCCAAGCUAACAAAAACACAAAUAGUUUUAUCUACCGAAGGUCAAGCCACAUCUUCCUAAAACGAACAACUGUAAAAAUUAUCCAUUGAAACAACAUUAAUUUUUAAAGGAGACAAAAUAAAUAGUACUAACGAACGACUGAGCAAAAAAACCUUGUCACAAAUCAAUCAGGAAUUAACACAGAUCUGAUACUCAAAUUUACAUGCAUACCAGUGGCGGAUCUGGAAAUGAGACGAGGAAGUUUGAGCGAGUUGAGCCGGAACGAGUGGCGAGUUGGAUCGGGAGUUAGGGUUAGCCAAGGGAAAUGGACUGGUAACUAAAUUGGAGCAAAAGAAGAAAGGAGUUGAGUCGGUACAUUGGGAUGGGCGUAGGCGUAUAUCUAUAUGUUGCGUCGAGUCGAUGAAAGGCUGGUGGUGGGUUUAGUAUUCUUUAGAUUUAGAUCUCAAUCGGGAAAUCCUUUUAGGCUCUUUUUUUUUUUUUUUAUAAGAAUUGCACCCUUGUGCUACAAACUAGAAAAAGAAAAAUGGUGCCGGUUAGAGCUAUUAAUAAACCGAGCAAUUCGGGAAUAUGUUCAUUUGAGUUUGAAAAAAAAGAUCAAUCAUUUAAAAAUGAAUAAGUACGAUUACAAUAUUAGACUCAUUUAAUAAUAGAGUUGAGCAUUAACAUAUUUGAGAACUAGUCGAAUAGUUAGUGAACACAUUUAUAAUUAUAAAAAUAAACGAACAUAAAUAUAAAUACAUUUACUAUUAUGAAAUAUAUAUUAUAUUUUACUAAAAAAUGUAAUUAGACAUAAAUUAGUAUUAUUUAUUUUUUUAAAACCAAGAAAAUAGAAUUACACCUAUUCUAAAUAAUAUAUUAUUUAUUAAAAAUAUAAUUAAAUCAUCUUUAAAUUCGACUUCGAAUUCAACUUUAGCUCAUUAAAUUACAAAUAAACUGAUGUUAGGAUGUUAAAUUGUGACGUCAAAUAAUCCUUUUUUUAUAAUGUUCUCAUUUGCUUUUUGCAUGUAGAUAUGAAAGUUUUUAGAUAUUAAAAAAAAAACUAAAUUCUAGAACUUACUCAAGAGUAGUUUUAAUUGAUUCUGAUUUUUAUUCUAUAUUCACUUCUGCAAAAUUUAAGAAUAUUUCGCGUAUUGUUCAAGUAGGGUAAAAAGGUACUUUACAAUUAAGGAACGUGAUCACAAACAACGUGAAAAAUUUUCUGCCGAAAACACAAUCCAAACAAGGCCUUGGGGACUUUCUGGCAUUUGGGGCUUAUUUGGGGUUUUAGCUCUUCACACUCGCACCAUCGCUUCUCUCCCCAAGUAUUUUAGUCUUUCUGCUACACUUUUCUCAUUCUCUUCCAUUUUGUCUUUCUGCUAAAGUCAGGUUUCUUACUCUCUCCUUUCUCGUCUCUCUCUCUCUCUCUCUCGCACACAACAUCCACUCACUCAAGCACGCCAGGCUCAUAAAAACAGAAUAACUAGUCCACUCAGGCUGUGUUGACCCUAAAUAAUUUAUAAGGCAAGCAUCAACUUUUCUGAUAUGUAUUCUUCCAUUUAAAUGAUUCUGUAUACGUGUAUUUGUAAUUCUGUUUCUCUUACCCUCCAUUAAAUGUAUAUAUGUCUACAAUAUGAUUUGCUCAUGAAUAUUCUGGCUUUGGAUUUGCAUUUGCUGAAACUAGCUCCAUGAAGUUUACAGCUUUUUUGUUUUAGGGAAUUAAGAAGCUGUGUUCUGUUAGUAUAAUGGCUCAAUUAGAAAUACUGAAGGCAAAUAUUUACUUUUUCUUUGUUUUAUUGUCUUAAAGAAAAAAAUGGACUUGUGGAUUGAGGGAUGAAAUGGAAGGGGGGAAGGGGGGGGGGCGCGGGGGAAGGUGUAGUUUUGGUUAUCUUAAUUUAGUUCUCCAUUUAGUAGAUUUGUAAGUCUCAUUUUUUUUAUUUAUCAAGGAAAAGAAAUGAGGAGGAAAUCAUAUGCCCAUUUUAUUUAUCCUUGUUUAUUUUUUCUAUUUGAAAACCAAAUACGCACUAAGCAGUUUGUUGUAUUGCUACAAGAUUCAGGUAGUGGUAAAGCGCAUUUUCUAUUGUAAUGGCUUUUGUUCGUGGUUUGAAACGUCCCAUUGAGAUCUUCUGUAAGAGGAGGAUGAAUACCCCUGUUCAUUCUGGACUUGGCUACUCUGCUAUGGCAUGUAAAGGGGCUUACUUUGCUGAUUUUAGAGAGAAUAAAUGCCCAUUUGGUUGUAAUUGUGCCAAUGCAUUUUGCAGUCACUGCAUUUCUGCUAGAAGAUACUCUACUGAAGUAUCUCCUUCAGAACAAAUGAAUCUUAUAAAGCAGUUGAGAGAAAGAACAAGUGCUCCCAUUAAAGAAGUCAAGUCAGCUUUGGUUGAUUCCAACUGGCAUAUUGGCAAGUUUAUCACAGAACUCUUCUUUUCAAUUUUCCUCUUGUUUGGUUUAGCUAGAAUUCUCCAUGUUCAUUGACAAAAGAUGGUGGAAAUAUGCAGAGUCUGCCCAAAAGGAACUGAGGAAAAGAGGGAUUGUUCUUGCAUCCAAAAAGGCUUCUCGAACUGCUGCCGAGGGUUUGCUGGCACUGGCACAGAAUGACAGGAAGGCUGCUGUGAUUGAACUUAAUUGUGAGACAGAUUUUGUUGCCAGGAAUGAAAUUUUUCAAUACUUGGUCAGUCUGAUAAGUCUACUAUUUUUCCUUUUAUUAAUUUAGGUGCCUUUUUUUCAUUAUUUUAUGUACAGUUUUGAAAAGCUUUUGAAAAUCUAAGUUGCAGAUAUUCCAGUUGUGAAACAGAUUUGUGAUUGUUCCCGAGCGAAAUAGAUGUUUUCAAGUUCUGACAAUUUUGGAACCUCUUUUUUAAGCUCCUACUAUCUUGCCCUGCUCUUGCUAGUCAUUAUAUUCUUCCCUAACUUGUGGUUUUCUGCAGGCCCUAUCUUUGGCAAAGGUAGCUUUGUUGGUCGAUGGUACAUGGCAGCCUUCUGGUGCUCUUCAUGUUGGACCUGAACUUUUUGAGGUGCUUAGUCUUUUCAGUUUGUAUUAUGCAGAGAACUAAAUUUAACUUUUGCUAUUUUGAACUUUUCAACUGCUCUUGGUUCCCCAACCAAGUUAAUCAUUUGAGAUUAUCAUUCAGGUUUAUAUGUUUCAUAAUUUUAAGGUGUAACACUAUGGGUAGUUCUAUAUUACUGAUUUAUCUUUACAAAUUUGAUAAUGUUAUGCAGCAUGAUAGCCUCAUUGACAGUACUAUUUUCCCCCAGUUACUAGAAGUUAACUACUUAUAUUACUUCUUCUGUACAAUUGUAGUAUAGAUUCUUUAUUUGUUAGUUGAUCUUUCUUUGAGAAGCUGAUGUUAUGUCUCGUGAUCCUAUCACUAAUUGAACUACUCCUUGGUUUGAAAUCCCAAUAUUGAUGCUGAAGUACAUGCUGAAACUCCACUUGGACUGGGGAAAGGUGAUAGUGAUGGUUCAAUUUUGUUGUGGCUGCAUGCUGUAAAAUCUUUGUAGCAGCGAUGAACUAGUUCAUUUAUGCUGUCAUGCAUCUUGAAAUCUAUUUCCUUCUAAAUCCUGUGUGUGGAACUUGUUUGUCUGUCUAAAUAGAAGUUGUCUGUCUAAAUAGAACUUGUUUGUGGAGCUUGUAAUCGAUUUAUGUACACAUGUUGCUCCACUAAGAAUUCAGAUUAUGCCAACUACCUUAUUUAUUUUGCAAUUUCUUCACAGGAGUUGAAGAUAAACUUUCACCAUCCCAAAUUAAGUGGAGAGAGAACUGUUCAAAAUGCAAUUACAGAGGUUGCUGCAAUGAUGGGAGAGAAUGUCAAGCUUAGAAGGGGUUUUGCAAUGUCUGCACCUUCAUAUGGCAUCCUGUCUACCUAUCUACAUACAAGCCCACAACCAGGUAGAGUUAGUUUCACGUUCACGACUUUAGUGUAUUGGAGAGAGAAGGGUAAUGGUUGUGCAUGAUAAUUGCAUCUUUGCUUAUCAUGUAUGUUUAUCUUUAAAAUAGUAGCAAGUUUCUGAGAGAUGUUCUGUUAUUUUCUUGGGCUGGCAUUUGUCUGGCAAAGAAAAUAGCGCCUAGAGCUAUAUCUUGAUGUUAACCAUUAAGCAGGUGUGGGCCGGAUUGCUGGGCUUUUGUCCCUUGAAGUGGAGGAUCAGAAUGCUUCAGUGGAUGCUCUUCAGCAUGUUGGAUCAGAACUAGCAAUGCAUGUGGUGGCAGCAAAGCCUUUGUUCUUAACAAAGGAUGAUGUAUCUACCGAAGCAAUGGAGAGUGAACGUGAGAUUCUCAAAUCUCAGGUACUCUUUAAUGCCAUUAAAACACCCCCUUUCGCUACUGAAAGAGAUCCAGAUAAAGCUAUAAAGGCAGCCCGGCUGCAUAAGUCACUUUUUAAUUUAUUUGUGUGAACUUCCUUUUAAUUUGUCGAUCCUUAUCACGUCCUUAACAAAUGGUAGAUUAUAUGAUUUAGAUCAUAUUUUUCCACUGUACCAGAGAGAGCCCAAAUGAUGGUUGAGAAUAGGGAUAUAAUCUGUGGUUAUGUUUGUCAAAUGGUAGAUCUUCUAUGUGCUAAUUUGAAAUAUAGCUUUCAUAACUCCAGAUUAAUUUAUUGAUCUAGUUAUCCAUUGUCUUCUUUAGGCAGAAAGUACAGGGAAGCCUCAGAUGGCUGUAGAGAAGAUGGUUGAAGGACGCCUACGCAAGUAUUUCGAGGAAGUAGUUCUAAUGGAACAAAAGUUCGUUGUCAAUGAUACUCUAAACGUAAAGGUAUAAGAGUGUCUUUCCUUUUAGGCUCCGAAUUUUCUUACUCUUUUCUCUCAACUUAUAAUCAAUCUACUGUCUUAGGUGGUCCUCGAGUUGUUUGUUAUAAGAUUAUAUUUCUAUCUUCUUAUACCUGUCAGGCUACUUUCUUGUCACAGGGUAGUCCAUGCUCCUGCCAAUAUUUAUUGUCAUUUCUCCGCAUCUUCAUUCUAUGAUCAUCAUCUUCUACUUUUCAUCUCGUAAUUGUCUUCUGAAUUUGAAAAUGUUAGUUACUAAAGUUUGUGAGAGGUUCUGCAAAACACCACAAGCCCUUUAUUGUGCUCGUAUCCAUCAGAGAACUUAAAGUUAUCUUUUCCAGUAAUCUUGAUGGUUUCUAGACAAUAGAAUUGUAAUCAAGCAUAUACCUAUGGGGCUAGGGAUUAAACUUCUCAUCUUGGUGGCGCUCAAGGUUGUGCAACAUUCAGUGUAUCCGAGAAUAGUCAUGGGUAGGAUUAUGUGCUUGGUGUUUUCUCAUGAUAAGCGACAAUAUGUUGUGCAACAAAAUUUCAACCACCUGAACCUAUGUAGUUGCGUAAAUUCUGCUAAUGUUAAGUGGUUUAGGUUCAUCAGUUUUUGCUAUGGCUUUAAAAUAGACAUGGAGACUCUGCAAUAACUUUUGCAUGUAGAAGCUAUAGCACUUCCUCAGCCCACAGUUGUAAUUUAGAUGUGUAGUUAAUACUUGGAUGUGGUGGUAUAUAUUUCAGCUUUAUUUCACUGAAAUGAAGCAGCUCCUGAAAUAACUUCUACCAUUUUAUACAUGCUCAUGCAGACUUUAUUGAAUAACCUGUCAAAGGAAGUGGGCUCACCUGUGAAGGUUGGAAGCUUUUUAAGAGUGGAAGUUGGAGAAGGCCUUCAAAGGUAAACGCUAUGAAGAUAUUUACCAACCUAUGUUAUAGUUAUUCUAUCUGCUGAUACUUUUGCUUUAAGUAAUAAUUUGUGUGGACUCUUCUAUGAGCCACGUUCUUGUACUAGUACUUGAGAGACCCCUUUUGUAAUGGUUUAAUGGAUUUUAGAGCACUGAGAAACGUUGUUAAACACUACAAGCUGUUUUAGUAAAGAAUGACAUUCCUCUUCCUUGUUUUGGGUUGCUUGUUGGAUAAACAGACUUUCUAGUUUCCCACAUGGCAAGGUAAUUGAUAUCCUUGUUGCUGUGGCUAGAUUGUUUGUGGGUUCAGAAUCAGGAUGAUACCUGUUUGAUCAUUUAUAGGAUUUUUUGUUGUGUGGAAAUUUAUCAAAUAUCAGUUAUUUCUCAGAAUGAGGUACUGUAAGAAUAAAUUAUAGUCUUUUUGAAAUUCAGAACAGCGGGUGAAAGGUUAAAACAUUAAUAGUGAGUGUUUGGAUCACUUAAGUUAAUAUUAUCUUGCUCAUAAGUAAUUAUUUCUUCCCUGAGGCUAUGGGAGUUGCAUUAAUAUUUCAAAACUUUGGAUAUGUUGCUUGUUCGUCCCAUCUCCUACCACCAAAGGAGCUAAAUAACAACUAGGGGAAACCAAAGCUAGUCUACUGGAGAAAGCAUUGCAUGCACAGUUAACCAAGCGUGCUGCGGAGAUUAUUUUGGCUUGUUCGAUGUUAUUAUGACCUUCAACAAGAAAAAAAGUUGUGUUAAUAGUUUUGAAGUCAAUGCAAGUUUCCAACAGCACUCAAGUAAUUAUCUAAUUAAUGUGUCUCAUAGCCCUAAUGCAAGAUUGUUGUUCCUAUGUGUUCUGAUAUGAAGGAUCAGUGAUACUAUUCGUGAACAAAGGAGUGAAAUCAUGAAAUUCCUGAUACUCAAUACUUCAUUAGAGUGCGAAUCUUAAAAGACAGGUCCAAAGAAGAGCGAACAUUUAUGGGGAGGGGCAUGUGAAUUGAGUUUCUUGACGGUUUCCCAUUUCAAUAUCUUUGUUGAAUUUGGUGUAUUGCCGUGAAUGUGCUUGUACUUUAUUUUUUCUCAUCUCUUUUUUGUCAGUGCUUUUGAUUUCCCCUUGUUUGUCCAAAAUUAAUCGAUGUUGUGCUGGUACCUGCACAACACUAUUGCUUGCUUUAUUAUUUGUAGUGAGUACUUCAUGUUAAUACUUGUAUUUUCUAAUUUCUCGUUGCUUGCAGGCUUGAAUCAUCCAACACUGGUGAACCGUUGGCUCAGGCUGCUUAGUUUGGCAAGUUGCUUUGCAGGCUUGAAUUAUCCAGUGCUACUGAAUUUUUGGCUCAGGGUGCUUAAUUGGGCAAUGUUGCGCAAUCUUAGGGAGCCACCAUUAACACAACGAGUAUAUAUUGAAUUGAGUUUUUGCUUUUCACCGGCUAGAUGAUCAAUUGUCUGUUCCUUUAUGUCUUUCAAUGUGGAAUUUUGUAAAAUUCCCUUAUUAGGAAUGGAAACUAAUUUUCAUUGCAUAUACUUCAGCAAGGAAAAGAGGCAUUGUAGCUUCAAAAUAAUCAGCAUGAACUUCUUGAUGUCCAACUGUAUGCUGUGUUGUCAUAUUCUCUGCAGUCAGUCAGAAUAUGGGAUAUAAAAGUAACAACUCUACAUACAAAUUAGGAUCCUCAAUACUGGUUAUUCUAUCCUAUUGAAAGCUGGAUUACCUCUUCUUUUUUUUGUUCUUUUAAAAUGGCUCUUCUUUUAUUUUUUAUAUUUUUUAUUUUAAGCUACUAUUAGCUUGGAUUUGCAGAUACGGUCUUAUUUAUUUGUUUAAUAAAUCAGAACUCGCCAUGUAAAUAAAACAUUUGGUUAUCAUUUUGCAGCAGUAUUGCUAUGCUAAAAAUUUCUGGAAAAAAAGUAUGUAAAGGAUUAUAUAUUGUUUGCUUCGGACUCCAGGAAAGAGAGAAGAUAUCAACCUUCCCAAUUCCCAUGCCCUGUGAUGCCUGUAGCGAAUGAAUGAAAAUUCCUCUUUUUUAAGGACUUGUAUGAGGUUUAUCGUGUGAUGGCCUGCACAUGCAUUUAGCUACUCUAAAACAGGCUUUCGAACCAAUUGAAGUUUCUCUGAGCUCAAUGGUUUGGUUUCCAGGCUUUCAACAUGUACUCGGUACAGAUUACAGAUGAUAUGCUAAGUAGUUUCUGCACAUGAAGUUACAACUCUGAUAAUAUAGUAGAAAAGGUUUUUUGGGGUUUUGUGGGGGGGGGGGGGGGGGGGGGAAUAGAGGAGAAAUGGGAGCAGAUGAGACUAGUGGAAUUUGAGAUUGGUCAGUACAUUGUUGUUCACGGGGUCAGACAAAUGAUCAAGAAGGUUUUGGUAUGGUCCUACUCCUGUGACGAGACCUUGAACGAAGUAACCCACUAUUGCCAACAUGGCCAAUCUUCCGUUCUUAAUCUCCUUCAGCUUUAAGUCCCUCAAGGAUUUCUCAUCUUUGCCGAGCCCAAGAGGGUUGAAGAGGGGGCCACCAGGGUAUGGAGGAUCACCGGAGCCUCCCAAGUAUUUCUCGAAACCUAAGAAGUACUGCUUGCCCAAACACCCUGGCUUACACCAGUCCUGGAAUCUCCUGUGCUCAGCGAAUCCCAUGAGUGCCAGCUCAAAGACAAAUAAGGUGUAGGGAUCUGCCCAGUAGUCAUAUGUACCAGCAGGAGGAAUCACUCCAGUCUUGAACCAAGGAAGAGCUGUUUCAGGUGGAAUGAGACCAGCUUUUCCGAGGAUCUCAGGUGCAAUUGCUCCCACUGCUCCCAACAUGGCAUAUCGUCCGUUAAUGACUUCUCCAUAUGCGAGCCAUCCUGGCUCAAUGAAGCCUCCAGGACCCUCGGGAUCUGAGAGUCCCAGCGGAUCAAAUCCGUAGUCUCCAGGAAGACUGCAAAAAGUCAAGAAUCCAUCAGCUAUUACGUCCACUUCUUUGUAUCUAGUUUUGUGCGUGUGUGUAGAAACUGCGCAGGCAAGCGCCUUAAAAAGGAGAUAUUGGGAUCGAGAACAUUAUUGAACCCCAUAAUCUGCUAGUGGUGAACUAUGUGUAUCAGAUUGCUCUGAAGCUUUAGUAUUCAAUACUGCUACAAUCCUUUGAUUCUUUAC